rnacentral:lncRNA from 1 species
UCAAACUUUGGAUCUCAGAAUGAACAACUUCCAAGGUACCAUCCCACAGACAUAUGCAAAAGGCUGCAACUUGGCUUAUCUUGGGCUGAAUGGCAAUCACUUGGAGGGACCAUUACCACCAUCUUUGAUUAACUGUGUCGAUUUGCAAUUUCUUGAUGUUGGGAAUAACAGCUUGAGCGGCCCAAUUCCAGAACAUCUUAGAAGCUCAACACUUAAAGUCUUGGAUAUGAGAAUGAACAAGUUCAACGGCAUCCUCCCUCAAACAUUUGGAAAAAGUUGUGUUUUGGAAAGUCUUAAACUUAAUGGCAAUCGGUUGGAAGGACCAUUGCCUCCAUCUUUGGUUAAUUGUCAGUAUUUAGAAGUUUUAGAUGUUGGGAAUAAUCAGAUUGAUGACACCUUUCCCUAUUGGUUAGACGUUCUUCUUGAAUUGCAAGUUCUUAUAUUGCGUUCUAAUAGAUUUUGGGGUCCUAUUGGUGAUACCAAAACAAGAGUUCCCUUUCCCAAGUUGCGAAUAAUUGAUUGCUCUCACAAUCAACUCACCGGUGUUUUGCCACUACGGUAUUUGGAUAGUUUUAAAGCCAUGAGGCAUCGGAAUAACAAUAGUGUUGAAGUCGAUUAUAUGAGGUUGCAGGAUUCUUCUAAUUACUAUGAGUCAAUAUUUCUGACUAUGAAAGGCAUUGACUUACAAAUGGAGAGGAUUCUAACAACUUUUGCAACUAUUGAUUUGUCCAGCAAUAGAUUUCAAGGGAAAAUUCCAGAAGUAGUGGGAAAGCUGAAUUCACUCAAAAGUCUCAACAUUUCUCACAACAACCUGACAGGUGGUAUUCCUUCAUCGCUGAGAAAUCUGACAGAGCUUGAAUCUCUAGACCUCUCUUCAAACACGCUUACUGGACGUAUCCCAACGCAACUGGCGAGUCUGAAUUAUCUUUCGGUGUUGAAUCUUUCGAACAACCAGCUCAACGGACCCAUACCACUAGGACCCCAAUUUAAUACUUUUGGAAAUAAUUCCUAUUCUGGUAACUCAGGGUUGUGUGGAUUCCCAUUAUCAGAGAGCUGCAGCAUUGAUGAGGCGCCAGAACCAACAACACCAUCAAGAUUUCUCGAAGGAGAUUAUGCUUCUAGGUGGUUUGAUUGGAAGUUUGCUAAGUUGGGUUACGCAUCUGGAGUGGUGAUCGGCUUGUCCAUCGGAUACAUGGCAUUUGUGACUGGAAGGCCACAAUGGUUUGUAAGAAUGAUCGAAAGGAAGCAAUCCAAGAAGCCGAGAAGGGUGAUCAGACGAGGCAGAGCAAGUAGAAGAAGUUUGUAGGUGCAUCUCUAGAGGCCCAGGUGAGCAAUUAUUAGUUUGUCUUUUGGAAUUAUAAGCUGGUUUCCACUGUUCUUUGAAUAGAUGGCAUGCUGAUAUUAUCGUAAUCUAACAGUUGGCUUACAAAAAUCACAAUCUUACAAGUUCAGCAUAUAUAAUCCAUAAUUAUAUAGAUUACAAAUUCUAAUUUGUAGUAAAGUAAUUACGAAGUAAAUGGAAGGUCGUAAAAGUAUUAAGGUUGUAAAAAUCUUAGUUUCAAAUAAUAAUAAAAUCUAAUUGUUUUAUGUUUAUUAAAUGAUUAAAUGAUAUCAUGAUUUUAACAAAUAAAAUUAUAAAUAUCAUGACUUUAUAAAAUGACAAAUCUAAAGUUUUACAACUUCAAUAUUUUAUUUAUGAAAUCAUAAAUUAGUCAGAAGAAAUAAGCUUCAUUUGCAAACGAAAUAUUUUUCACCAUUUAUACACAAAAAAUUAAAAUAAAAUAAAAGUUGUAUUUUCAUUCAAUGGAGUUAAAGUGCAAGUAAAAUAUUAAUAGUUCAAAUAAAAAUACAUAUCAUAUGCAUCAUUACAAUUGACAGUACAUCUCAACUAGGUUGGCACCCACUAAACCAUCUAUCAUUUGCGAAAUUAGAUAAUAUAGUUGUGUUAAUAAAAUGUUAAUAAUUAUAUUUUAAUCUAAAACUUGUAAACAUUAAUGUUAUUACAAAUUAUCAUUUACAACUUUAUAUAAGUACAAAUUAGCAAUUAAAUGUUAACCCUUCAGAAAAAUUAUUUAUUAUUAUUGUUAAGAAGGGAAAUUAUCAUUGCACCACCGUUCUUUUGCCUUAUGUUCAUCCAACCACCAUAAAAUUCUAACAUGUUCUCAGCAACACCUUUCUUUUGAAAUUUGUAUUAAUUAGCUACUUUUGCACUAACAACGUUAAAUAAUUUAAACGAAAUAACAAUUUUACUCCUAAAUAAAUUAAAAGACCAUUUUAUCUUAAAAACUUGGAAAAUAAAAAAUUAUAAUUAUAAAAAUACCCCUAAAUUAAAAAAUAAAGCCAAAAUGGAGGUGCUCAGUUGAUUUUUAUUAAAUUUAGAUUUUACAAAAUUUUAAUCAUUAUUUUUAUUAAAAAUUUAUAAUUUUGCAAAAUUCAAUAAAAAAUAAAUGAAUUUAUUUAUUAAAAAGUUAUAAUUUUGCAAAAUUUUAUUAAAAUAACUGAAUUUUUUAUUAAAAAAUAAAUCCCAAAAUUUUAAUAAUUUAGGGGAUUUUUAUUAAAUCCCAAAAUUUUGUAAUUUUUUUAUAAUUAUAAUUUUUUAAAAUAAAUUUUAUUAAAAAUAAAUAUUCUUAAUUUUUGGAUUUAUUUCUUUAUUAAAUGUAUGGGUAUUUUUAUAAUUAUAAUUUUUUUAUUUUCAAAGCUUUUACAAGAUAAAAAGAUCUCUUAGUUUAUUUUGGGGUCAAAUUAUCAUUUUUUUUAAAUUAUUCAACGGUAUUAGUGCAAAAGUGAUUAAUUGAUACAAAUUUCAAAAGAAAUAUGGUGCAGAGAACAUGUUAGAAUUUUGUGAUGAUUGGAUUAACAUAAGGCAGAAGAAAGGUGGUGCAAUGAUAAUUUCCCUUAUUAAGAAUUAUCCUAUAUGUAUUAAAAAAAAAGAAAUGGGGAUUUUUUUUUUUAGCCCAAAAAAGGAAAAAAGAAAAAAGAAAAAGAGGUACAGGCGGUGCGGCCAAUUGGCCUUCUCUAUAUGUGAAAUGGGGAAUAACAAAUGGGGAGAUUGCCAAUUUCCCCCCUACAGUAAUCAACAUAUACCAUUUUCUCCUCUGCUGUUUUUAUAAUGGCCAAAAACCUCCCUGAUAGCAUAAGUUUACAAUAUUAUCUUUAUUUUCAACUACUCUUUUAUUUAUAUUUAUUAUAAAUUAAAUAAAUCACAUGAAUAGAAACUAAAUAAAAAAUUAAGCAUUAAAAAUAAGAAAUAUAUGUUUUGAUAUGAGAAGAAAAUUAAUAAUAAAAUUUUUUUCUUGUACUUAUUUAUUUUGUGAAAUUUUUCUUAUAAUAAAUAUAUAAGAAAGUUAUUAUAAAAUGAUAAAAAAUUAUUAUAAGAAAAUUUGAAUGACAAAUAAAAAUUUAUUAUAAGAUAAAUAAUAAAAUAUUUUGCCUAUACUUUUUACAUUUAAUUUUAAAAUAUUACAAAAUGUUUAUUAUAAGAAAAUGUUCACAAAAUAAAUAAUUACAAAAAAAAUUUCAUUAUUAAUUUUUUUGCUCAUAUCAAAACAUAUAUUUCUUGUUUUUAAUACUUAAUUUUUUUAUUUAGUUUCUAUUCAUGUAAUUUAUUUAAUUUAUAACAAAUGUAAAUAAAAGAGUAAUUAAAAAUAAGGAUAAUAUUGUAAACUUAUGUUGUCAGUGGGGUUUUUGGCCAUUAUAAAAACAGAAGGAGGGUAAAUGGUAUAUGUUAAUUAUUGUAAGGGGGAAAGUGGCAAUCCCCCUAACAAAUAAUCUUGACUCAAUUAAUUGUAACAAUAACGAUUUGGAACACGAUGUGGGCUUAAUUUGGGUGUGCAUCUUCAGUUCUGUAACCUGAAUUUGGGUGUGCAAAUUGUAAUAUUACCCUUUUAAACUCACAAUGAGAUAAUUGAAUGGGGUGUAAAAGAAAAUGGAUUUAAAUAAAUGAAAUAUGGUAUGUCCAAAAUCUCUGACCCUGUAUCAUCCUUGUUCAAAUGGCUCAGUAUGUAUGUGCCAUGUCAAAAUGUGAGAACUCAUCCACGUCACCAGCCUCAACACCCUCGCCACGUCAUCACUCAACCGGUGUUAUAACUGAUGAUAAUUUGGAUAAGAUAAACAGUUAAAUUGUGAGUCUUCACUCUUCAAAGAGAAACCAAAAUGGCGCGAGCUUUGCUUCAUUUGAAUAGCACAGCCACGGCCAUAAUGGCCAGUGCUACAAGUGCUACUAAAGAAACAGUUCUUGUCAGGCUCUCUUCAGGCUCUGCCCGGCCUUCAGAUUGUAGUUGGCUCUCGAAACAGGUGAAAUCAUUAAUACUCUUUUCUUUCUUCUAGUUGUUUCCCGAGAAAAUGCAAGAAAUAAAGGGAAAAUUUUUUCAAGCUUUGUUACUUAAUGUUAUUUUUAUGAUUACUAUGUUUCUUUGGUUCUUUUAAAAUUUAAAUUCAAGUAUUAGUCUGUCUUUAAGUAGACCGCAUGAUGGUAUUUUUCACUAUCUGAACUAGUAUUUGAACAGUAUAUUAAUUUGAUGUGUUUUUUGUUCAGGAAUUUUAUUACACUCAUGGAAUCGAAGCAGUGGAAGUCAUAUAAUCCUGCAGGUACAACAAUUUUCUUUGCUUUAUUUUCCAAUCCAUAUUAAUAUGCUAGGACUUAUUUUUUGUUGGCAAACUUGAUCAAAACUCUUGAGGAAAAAAAAUGAUUUGAAGAAAUAAUAAUGUUGAUGUAGGAAAUGGUGUGGGCAACUUUUAUUUGUUUGUCUUGGGCCAGUAUGUUGGAUUUGGAAAUAUUGGAAGGUUGCAACGAUACAAGAAUCAUUCACCGCCUGCAGACAGCUAUGAUCCAUAUAUGCGAUUUUUGCAAUGUUUAUUUUUCAUAAGAAAUUCAAAUGCUACUUCAGAUUUUUUUAAUAAAUCCCGAAUCCUUGUACAUCCAAAUUUCAUUGUUUCAUGAUUCAUCAUAAUCCAAUGAAGUCUUGAAUGCUUGUACCAAUUCAAAGGUUAGUUGUGGAUCAACAAAAAGAAAUAAAAUGUAUGUGGGCUGGACACAGGUCCUAUAUAUAUAUACCAGUUAAUUUUUUUGCCAAGAUAUCUCCACUGUUGGUUAUCUGCUUGAGUCUGAAGCAAUAACAGAAAAAAAAAAAUAAUAAUAAUAUGACUAGUUAUUAUUAAAUUAGUCGUUAAAAUAUUUAUUUAUUCUUAUUACGAUAAUUGAGGCAAUAAAUUGCAUAUUCUUGUUUAAUUUUGAGUUCUUCAUUGAUAACGUUCAAAUUUUUAUUUUUUAUUUGAUUUUUUUCUAAUUUUAGGGGGGAGAAAAGGUAAAGAAUGAGAGAUUAUUUAACAAAUUAAAUUUAGAGCACAAGCACAGAAGCAUUAAGCUCCUGCUAAACUGUUGUUCGACUUGCAAGUUUUUGGAUCAAAUAAUAAAGUUUGUGCCUUGAGAAGUUAGCUCAUGGCUGGAAUGUUAUUUCUAAUCUAGAGCUAGCGUCCUGAGAAAAUUUUGCAUCCUUGCAGGGAAAAAGGUGCUGCAAUUGUGUCUACAUUGUUGAAGUUUUCUGAAUUUUCUGAAGUUAAUUGGUAGACAUUAUUCUUUUACACUAAAUAUGCAAUUGAGUUCACAGCUAUCCAAAAAAUGGGGCAGUUUUUAUAUUUAAUUACAAAAUUAUCCUUAUUGAAACCCAUAUAAGAGUAUUUACAUUAAUUAGUUAUAUUGCUUCUUCAACUAUCAUCAAAUUCUUAUUCGAGUUCAUCAUUUAAGGAAUAAAUGUGUUAUCUAAAUAAUUACAAAUGAUGUACUAAGCAAAUAUUUUGAGAAAUAAGACUCAUUAUGGCUCCUUUCAUUAGUUGUAUCUUUAAUUUCUUAUUAAUGAAAUUCUCUCGCAUUGCCCAAAAAAAAUGUUGUUAGCGUCACCAUUGAAAGGGGCCAAAUUAUGUAUUGUCUGACUAGUGAAACUGUUAUCAUAUAUGCUAAUAUGCUGCUUCUGGAUCCAUUAUUCUGGCUUUUUAUCAUUUCCAUGGCAGUGAUGGGAGCAGCGCUUGUUCAUAUUGGUAGAAGUGAAAGCAAAUUAAGGAGAGACACAUAGACUAAGGUAAUAAUGUCCACUAAGUUUAAUAUGGUGAAGUCCUGGAUCAGUCGCUUUGCUGAAAUGAUUUCAAGUAAUCGCCCACAGUGAUUGGCAAUUUUCUCUUAUUUAAGUUUUGGUGAAAGUGAAGCUCAUCCACAGAAAAUAAUUGACAGGAAGUGUUAAGGAGAAAAGAUCAGCCUAAUUCAAUGGCUAGGGAUGUUACAAUCAUUUUUUUGUUACUAAAUAUUUUUAAAUUAGGAUAACGUAUUAAUGGAAAAAAAAAAAUUCAUAGUCUAACAAUUGAUUUACAAAAACCAGAAUCCUGAUUAAAUUCAGAUAAUAAUUAUAAUCAACGUCUAUAGGAAAAGGGAAAACGAGAAUCAUAUGUAAGAAAAAUUAUUUCAUGAUGGAGGAAACUUUACCUUAAUUAUCGAUGUGUUUCUCUUCAGGAAUUUUAAUCUCUUCGUACCGAAAUUUAUUUUUGCUUUAAUUUAUUUCUAUAGCUCAUAAGAACUUGCUAUCACAGAACAUAUGUUUUGAUGGUAAACUUGAUCAAAUUUUUAUGGGAAAAAAAAAUUGAAUUGAAAUAAUAUUAUAUUGUUGCAGGAAAAAAUAUGUGAGGGCAACUUUGAUUAGGUGUAUCUUGGGCCACGUACGUAUCAGGAAAAUUAUUUUGUUGCAGGAAAAUUAUUUUGUUGCAGGAAAAUAGAUUUUCCAAAAAUCUGUCCUUUGGCCGACCGAUCCUAUAUGAUCCUUGUUCAAAUUGGCCCCGUAUGUGGCACGUCAACACUUCAAAACUCGGCCACGUCAUCAACUUCGCAAAAUUCUCGCCACAUCAUCACUGAACUGGUUACGACGGAUGAUAACCUGUUGAAAAGUCAAAGAGUUUUGAGCCACAUGCAUUGCUUCUGUUUUUCAAAGUUGGCACCAAAUUGCAAGCUGUAAAAUAUUUGGCUUUUGACAAUCCUUCACCAAAUGAAGAAAAAUGAGAAAGGUUAGCAAAAUUUGUCAAAUUGACAGAUAGGAGAAUUGAAAAAUUGCAAAGCGGAUGGUGCAAUAGUGCAACGUUUUUUGCUACAAAUAAAGAUGCAUUCUUCAUUUGUAAAGCAUCCCAAAAAAUUUGUUAAGCUUAUAAGUUUCUAAACUUUUGAGAGUUCUGCGAGUGUGAGCAAUUGGAGAGUGUGUGUGAGAGUAUUGAGUGUAUUUGGGUUCUGGGAAAGUGAGAUUUCUUUACUCGAAUUUGUACUCAAAUAAUUGUUAAUAAUACAAGUAUUUUUCUCUUGCUCCCGUGGACGUAGGCAUAUUGCCGAACCACGUAAAUUCUUGUAUCCUUUAUUUUUUUGUGAUUAUUCAGUGCGCUUGUUUCCGCAUUCCAUGCACAACAAGUGGUAUCAGAGCUAAUGGUUCGUACUUGGGGGGAUACGGUACUGUUCACGUAUAUGAUACUAUUCACGAAUAUGGUACUGUUCACGAAUACGGUGGAGACGGCCAUUUGUACUUGGGAGACAGUCUAUUAUAAGUAGUGUGUAUUUUUGCAUGUCUAGGAAAGUUCUGUCAACAAAGGCGAUAAGAGUCUAAGGAUUCUGGUUUUUAAUUGGGACCGAGUUCCCGUCUAGUUUCCUGAAAACUUUCCUGGUGCAUUUAUUCACGCAAAAUUAACAUCAUAGAGACUGUUUUUUCAAGUGGAAAUAAUUCAUCGAGAAAAUGGUAGAAGGUGAAACUUCCAGAAUUGGGGAGAGAUCUACCUAGGCUAUUUCAGGAGACACUUCAGGUGGGAGGCGAGAUUUGUCAAAUCGCUAUUCAGCACCUGUUAUAGGAGGCCGGAAGAUCGAUGUUGAAAAGUUUUAUGGGAAAAUCAACUUCGGCAUGUGGAGGCGCGAAGUUAUGGAUGCCCUUAUUCAAAUCGAUCUCGAUGUUGUUCUGAAAAAUAAAAGACACUUGUAUGAUGAAGAAAUUUGGGAUCGUAUGAACGAGAAAGCUUAUGGUCAGAUCAGAUCUUGUUUGACCAAGGAGGCGAAAUACUUGGUGAAAGAUGAGGAGUGUGCUGUGACUUUGUGGCGUACAUUGGAGGAGAAGUACCUGCUGAAAAGUCCUGAAAAUCGUCUUCAUGCAAUGAGCCAAGUAUAUGGCUUUCGAAUGAAGCCUGGGGUGUCAAUGCACGAUCAUGUCUCAAGAUUUGAAAAGUUACUUGCUGAUUUGAAGAAUCUUGAUCAAGAUAUUAAGGAUGAAGUCAAAGUUAUGAUUCUGUUACACUCAUUACCAGAGGAAUAUAGCCAUUUUAUGACUACCUUGAUAUAUAGGAAGAGUGUGAUCGUCUUCAAAGAUGUUUACACAGCAUUGACUAACUUGGAGAUUCGGAAUAAUGAUAAAAAUUUCUGAAUGAGCAUCGUCUAAAGCUUUGGUGAGUAGAGAUUGGGCGAUGGAGAAAAAGAAAAAGCAUGGUGGAAAGAAUUCUCGAUCCAAAUCGAGAAGUAGAAAUCUAGCUCGAGAUGAGUGUGCCUUUUGUCAUGAAAAGGGUCAUUGGAGGAAAGAUUGUCCAAAGGCUCAAAAGAGAGAUGAGAAGAAACCAGCAGCAGCAAACAUGGAACGGAAAGAUGAAGACUCUGAUUAUUCACUAAGUAUUACUCCUGCAGCAUACGUGACUAGUUCGAGCGAGUGAAUACUUGAUACUGGAGCAACCUAUCAUUUGUGUCCUAUUAAGGGAUGGUUUACGGAUUUUCGUAAUUUGGAAUCCGGUGCAGUUGUGAUGGGGAAUGAUCAACCUUGUCGCACAAUUGGGAUAGGAACAAUUCGGCUCAAAAUGUUUGAUGGAAUGAUCAGAGAACUCAAAGAGGUUAGAUUUGUUCCAACUUUAAAGAAAAAUCUAAUUUCUCUGGGUGCUUUGGAGCUAAAGGCUACAAGAUUACCAUUGAAGAUGGCACAAUGAAGUUUACACAUGGGGCUAUGGUGAUUUUGCAAGAGGUUUGGCGUCACAAUCUGUACUAUUUGAAGGGAAGUACAACUGAUGAAGCAAAUAUUGUUGAGGCGCACAGUGACACCACCAAGCUAUGGCAUGUACGACUGGGACAUGCUGGUGAGAAGUCUUUGCAAACUCUGAUGAGGCGCGGACUCUUAAAAGGUACCAAAACCUGUGAGUUAAAUCUCUGUGAGCAUUGUGUAGUAGGCAAGAAAACAAGGGUCAAGUUUGGUACAGCCAAUCACGAUACUUGUUGUACAAAUUUUAAUGUACUCGCAAGCGCACGAAUCUAUUGUGGUAUAGAUCAAUGGUGACGAGUGUCGAUCCCACGAGGAGGUAGAUUUUAAUUGUGUAGAAUUAAUUUUGUAAAUGGGUGAUUGGAUUUGUGGUGGAAAUGAUUUGGAAUAUAUUAAAACUUAAAUUAAACUGGCGAGAAUAAAUUCUAAAAUUGGUAUUGAAAUAGCGAGAAUAAAUUGAAGAGAAUUCUAUUGAAAUGACGUACUUGGGUAUCUGGAUCCGUAUCAACAUGCAUCAUGGGCUAAAUAAUCCGUAUUAAUGCCAAUUAAAUCAUGAGGGGGGAAUCCACACCUCAUGAACCACGCUCUAAUCAAUAUGGUGCUAAGGGCUUAUCGUGCCAAAUAAUAAUAACCUUAUACUAGAGAGCCGGUGAAACCAAGGCGGUACUAGACAAGAUUAGUAUUAUUUGUCGACGAGAAGUCAAAACAUCCACAAAAACUAGAGGGGAGGAGAAAAUAAAUUUACCAAAUUAAGCCCAUGACACAUGUUGAGACUUCACCUUCAACCCAAGCUUGAAAGAAAAUUAGCCACUCAUAAUUGAACUAGGGGCAAAAUGGGAAUUUAUUAAAAUACAUAGAAAAUACAAGAUGGAGAGGGAAUUACAGAAAAUGGAUCCCAAAAAUGGAUUCAGAGAUAUCAAAUUAGGGGGGGAGGCCCCAUUUUUAUAGAUACAUGGAGUAAAUCAUGGCCAUCGGAUUAAAAACAGUUUGGACGCUCAGGAUUGCGCCACGUCAUCAGUCAACAGUCCACGGUUUGACCACGCGGAUGAACAGUAACACGGUUUGACCCGGAUGAACAGUAACGCGGUUUGGUUGAAAAUAAUCCUGUGUGAUGCAUGCACCGUACGCUAGAUUUUUCGUCCACUGAUAUGCUGCCACGUCACCAUCAACAGUACAUAAGAAUUUUAGUCCAACAGGAUCGUGACACCUCAUCAGUCAAUGCCACAUCAUCGGUCAAUGCCACGUCAUCGAUCCGUCUAUGUGAACAUUGUCGUGAACAGUAACGUAUACAGUACCGUACACGUGAAUAGUACCGUACAUGUGAACAGUAACAUAUACAGUACCGUAUAUGUGAAUAGUGCCGUACAUGUGAAUAGUGCAAUUUUUCCUUUUAUGCUCCUUCUAAGGUUUUCAACCGUCCUGAGUUCAAAAGUGAUGUCCGUUUUGCCGUCUGAUCUCUCUUUUAUUGUGAAAUGACUAUAAUGCCCCUAAAAUACAUAAAAUACUUAAUUAAAAUAACACACACGUAAUUAUAUCACAAGAAGGUUAAAUACAUAAAAGUAAGAGUUGUUAGUAAGACUUGAAUGCCAGAACGAGGGUAUUAAAAGACAUUUCACGGUGAGACAUACUCCGCAACAGAACGAUGUAGCUGAGCGUAUGAAUCGUACUUUACUGGAGAAGGUACGGUGUAUGUUAUCUAAUGCUGGUUUAGAUAAAAAAAUUUGGGCUGAAGAUGUGAGCUACGCAAGUCACUUGGUAAACCGGUUGCCUUCUGCUGCAAUUGGAGGUAAAACUCCUUUGGAAAUGUGGUCUAGAAAGCAUGCACAAGACUACGAUUCUCUUCGUAUAUUCGGGUGUCCAACUUAUUAUAAUGUCAAAGAUGGUAAACUGGAUCCUCGUGCUAGAAAAGCUACCUUUAUGGGAUUCAAAGGUAGAGUAAAGGGCUUCAAGCUUUGAGAUCUCGAAGAUAAAAAGUUUGUGUGUAGCAGAUAUGUCACAUUUGAUGAAGUUUCAAUGAUGAAAACUUUAAGUUCUCAGCAAGUGGAGAACAAGACCAAAGAGGUAUUACAGCGGGUGGAGUUUAAUGCAACUCCAUAUGUACUAGUUAGUUCUGCAUCAAAGAAUGGUUCAACUAUGGAGGUGACACCUAGAGUUGAAGAAGAGGUUGUUUCUUCUAAUGUCCCACAAAAUGAAGAAACAAUUGAUGAUGUAGAUAAUGAUGAUUUUAUAGCAACAAGGAGGCCAAGAAGAGAGAUAAAGAAACCUAGAUGGCUUACUAAAGAUAUGGCUGUAGCCUAUGCACUUCCAGUUAUUGAUGAUGACAUCUCCAACACUUUCGGUGAAACAUUAUGCAGCAGUGAAAGUGAUCAGUGGAAGUUAGCUGUGGAGGAAGAGAUGAAAUCUCUCCAUCAAAACCAGACUUGGGAACUUGUAAAGUUACCAAAGGGAAAAAGGGCUAUUGGCAAUAAAUGGGUCUACACCAAAAAGCAAGGAUCUUCGAAUCAAUCAACUCCUCGAUACAAGGCAAGGUUCGUGGCGAAAGGUUUUCCUUAAAAGGAAGGUAUUGACUACAAUGAAGUUUUCUCUCCAGUUGUAAAACAUACUUCCAUUCGUAUCCUACUUGCCUUAGUUGCAGAAUAUGAGUUAGAGUUGGCUCAGUUGGAUGUUAAGACUGCAUUCUUACAUGGAGAUUUGGAGGAGGAAAUCUAUAUGAUUCAGCCUUGUGGUUUUAAAGUUGCUGGCAAGGAGAAUCAUGUGUGUAGGUUGAUUAAAUCUUUGUACGGACUGAAGCAAUCGCCAAGGCAGUGGUACAAAAGAUUUGAUCAAUUUAUACAAGGGUAGAACUUCACCAGAAGUGAACACGAUCAUUGUGUUUACUUUAAAAAACUACCAUAUUAAGCUUUCAUCUAUUUGUUACUCUAUGUCGACGAUAUGUUUAUAGCUUCGACGAAUAGAGAUGAGAUCGAAAGAUUAAAGAAGCACCUGGCUUCUGAGUUCGAGAUGAAAGACUUGGAUAAUGCACAAAGAAUACUUGGGAUGAAGAUUCAUGGAGACAAUAAGAAUGGGAGCGUAUGGUUAACUCAAAAGUCUUAUUUUAAGAAAGUGCUGGAAGGAUUCGGUAUGGAUGACAAAACAAAACCGGUAUGUACACCUAUAGUUCCUCAUUUCAAAUUAAACUCUUCUUCAUGUCUUAGAUCUCGAGAGGAGCGCGAAUACAUGACUCGUGUUCUAUAUGCUAGUGCUGUGGGUAGUCUUAUGUAUGCUAUGGUAUGCACAAGACCCGAUAUAUCUCAAGCAGUGAGCAUGGUUAGUAGAUACAUGCACAAUUCGGGUAAAAAUCAAUGGCUUGCGGUAAAGUGGAUUCUCCGAUAUCUGUAUGGGACAGUUGAUGUUGGGUUAUUGUUCAAGAAGGAUUGUGGUCAACAAUGUGUUGGGUAUUGUGGUUCUGAUUUCGCUGGAGACCUUGACAAGUGAAGAUCAACAAUGGGCUACGUAUUCACAUUGAGUGGAGGUCCGGUUAGCUGGAGGUCGAUUUUACAAUCGACAAUUACUCUGUCCACUACGGAAGCAGAGUACAUGGCAACAACUGAAGCUGUAAAGGAAGCUAUCUGGUUGAAAGGCUUGUUAUGUGAUUUGGGAGUAAUCCAAGAGAACAUUGCGGUCUUUUGUGAUAAUCAAAGUGCGAUAUUCCUCGCGAAGAAUUAAACAUAUCAUGCUCAGACGAAGCACAUAGAUGUGAAAUAUCAUUAUGUGAGGGAGAUUAUCGAAGGUGGUGACGUGUUGUUGAAGAAGAUCAAUACAAAAGAUAAUCCAUCAGAUAUGUUGACGAAGGUAGUUUCUGGAGUUAAGUUCCAACAUUGCUUGAAACUAAUUCAAAUCCUUCAAUUGUGUUAAGUUAUGUCCUUCGGGAAUUUUAAAUUACGAUUAGCUUGAUCCCAAUUUUUGGGUACGUAGGCAGUCACAGAGAUGCAGCCACUUUGGGGAUGAUGGUUCAUUGAUAGUCGGCUAAGAUUUGACUAAAUCUUCACCGAGGUAGAGAAUUGUUGAAAAGUCAAAGAGUUUUGAGCCACCUGCAUUGCUUCUGUUUUUCAAAGUUGGCACUAAAUUGCAAGCUGUAAAAUAUUUGGCUUUUGACAAUCCUUCACCAAAUGAAGAAAAAUGAGAAAGGUUAGCAAAAUUUGUCAAAUUGAAAGAUAGGAGAAUUGACAAAUUGCAAAGCGGAUGGUGCAAUAGUGCAACGUUUUUUGCUAUAAACAGAGAUGCAUUCUUCAUUUGUAAAGCAUCCCAAAAAAUUUGUUAAGCUUAUAAGUUUCUAAGCUUUUAAGAGUUCUGUGAGUGUGAGCAAUUGGAGAGUGUGUGAAAGUACUGGGUGUAUUUGGGUUCUGGAAAAGUGAGAUUUCUUUACUCAAAUAACUGUUAAUAAUACAAUUAUUUUUCUGUGAUUAUUCAGUGCGCUUGUUUUCGCAUUCCGCGCAUAACACUACCUACUACUAGAAGAAGCUGUGUCCAAAACAAAUUAGAGUUCCAUUAUUAUUACAAAUUAUAAGUAAACUACACGUUUUAAAAUCGGUAGACAAUAAUAUUGCAGUUUCAAAUCGAGCAAUGCACGCGUAAUCCCUAUUACGACAGAAUAACACAAAAUUAACAAAAGGAAAGCACAUAAUUGACUACUUUGAAAGCUUUUAUUGCAUUUUCUCAUAAACCAAAACAGAAGAAAGAAAGUAUUAACAUUUUCACCUGAUUUCGAGAGCCAAAUGGUCGGAGCAAAGCAACGGAAAGAAAUUGCACCGUUUACGCCAUGAAUGAAAGUGACUUAAUUCUACAAAUAUGACACCAUACACAGUGAUUCUAUUAAUAUGACAAUUUCUUAAUGAAAAGUCAUAAAUAAAUAUCCUUAAAGAGUAUAUUUAUUGAUUCUCCAUUUUUUUAGUUUUUACCUUACCAUUACCCCCCGGUUUUUUUACCUGACCAUUACCCACCCAUGGACUAUAAUUAUUAAAUACUCGACCUUUGUCUAAAAAUUAAGCGACCUUUUAUCUCACUCUUAUGACACUUGCAUUUAUACUCGAUUAUACUUAUUCUCAAUUUUGGAGUCAGAAAUGAAAACUGAGGAACUUGGUAAUUCACAAAUGCAGGUGGAUUUGUCGUAUAUAAGUGAAUAAAUGGAAAGGAAGGGAUGUAUAUUUGGAAGAUAAGCACUUUUGCUGCAUAUAAAAACAAAAUACACGCGUUUUUAAUGAUGUGUAUGGGACUGGGCCAUUUUUCUUUAUAAUUAUAGGCCUACUUUUGUUUCAACUAAAAUUCAAGUACUUGGUUGGUGCAAAUAAGCGGAGCACGCGCCAUUUUGGUCUCUUUUUAGUAUUCUCACCUUGUGAAGAGACUCAAUUCAACUGUUUUGCUUAUACAAAUUAUCAUCCGUUAUAACCGGUUGAGAGAUGACGUGGUGGAGUUUUGACAUGUUGACGUGGCACAUUAUGGGGCCAAUUUGAGCAAGGAUCAUAUAGGACAGAUUUUGGAAAAUCUCUUUUCCUGCGACAAAAUAAUUUUAUUGUUACCCUCACUUCCCUUGUCCGGAUACUGAUUCAAAUCCAAUAUACGUACUUGGCCCAAGAUAUACCAAAUCAAAAUUACCCUCACAUUUUGUUUUUUCCUGCAAUAAUAUAGUAUUAUUUCAAAUUAUUUUUUUUUUCACCCAAAAAUUUGAUUUACCAUCAAAACAUAUAUGUUCUGUGAGAGCAAGUUCUCAUGACCUAUAGAAAUAAAUCAAAGCAAAAAUAAGUUUCGGCACCAAGGGACCAAAAUUCCUAUAGUUGAGGUAUAAAAUUAUGAAAAGGGAUAAUCGUUUUGUGGUAAAUUGUAUUAGGAAAGUCAAAUGCUUGAUAAGCCCAGAGGUCAACAUUGUGAGAUGUAGUAGCUUUUUGCUGGGUUAUUAGGUAAAAAUGAUUUCAGUUGUAUGUUCUCCAAAAUGUGUUAAGAAAAUAAGAAUUGGUUAUGAAAAUAAAAGUAGUAAAGUGCAAAUCUUAGAAAUUUCCCGAAGUGCUGGAAUUUGAAAUAACUUCAAAUGCGAUUUUGAGUCCUGAAAUUGUACAAUUUCGUAAAAGCCACACGGGCAUCAGAGUCAAAGGCAAAUGGGCAACAUUGUUCAUCUUGUUAAUAUACCAUACGCCCAAUUGAAAAAAUGUGGCCAAAAUGGCACCAAAUGAAUUUCACCUCAAAUCAUUCCUACAUCAAAAUUAUUUUUAAAAUAACUUUUUCCUGAAAAAUUUGAUCAAGUUAACCAUCAAAAUGUAAGUGUGUGGUAUCAUGUUCUUACGCUCGAAUGUAACUGAACAUUGAUGGAUUAUCUUUACUGGGAUCCCCUUUCUUUACGUAUAAAGUAGACUUUGAUUCUUCAAGAGGAACACUUUUCAAUUUUUUUCAAUUCCCACAAACCAGUCCAAAAGCUGAAGCUGUAUCCAAUUAAUGACCAUUUAGAUAUUUACUUAAGUUCGGCGAGAUGUUCGUUAUCUGUCAUAUUUGCCGGUGUAACAGCUAGCUAGACUAACAGUCAUUUACACAAACACAAUUCAUCUUCCCUUCCCUGUUUUGACUCUGUUCCAUUAGUUGACUAUCAAAGCGUAAUAACUGGAGGGCAUAAUGAAUAAAUAGCAUAUGGUACAAAUAAAAUAUUCUAAGUAUGUUACAGUUUGUUAAGCUAAGUUGUUAGACCUUCCAUUAGUUAUCAUAUAUGUAUGUAACUGGUCAAAACAAUACAUAAUUUACCAAAUCAAAAACAUAUUCUAGUUUUUCCACGAACCUGUCCAAAAGCAGAUGCGUUUAUACUAAAAGAAACCCCAACUCUCAGAUAUUUUAAGUCAUCAUAUAUGUAUGUAACUGGUCAACUGUAUGAACUUAAGCUGAAAACUUAUGCCAAGUUGCCUGCUCUUUCUUACUACUGAACUUAAAAUAGAAAGGCAUCUUUCCUUCAAUCCCUUCCCCCUAUAAGGCUCUAAAGUGAUCUUUUCUCCUGGUCAAUUGCAUGAAUUGCGGAGCAGUAAUCUUAAUUUAAUAUUUAUUGCCAAUUUUGUAAAACUCCAAACUUCUUUUCCACGGCUAUGAUAGUGAAACUCAUGGGAAGGAUCAGAAAAGUUGAAAGUUAGUGAUCUAAGAUAUGUCCAAAUUAAGAGGUAUGUAUACAAAAACUGAACAAAUCUUUCUUUCUCAAAGUCAUUAAUUAACAUUUCAGCCAAGUCCACCUUAUAAGUUAAGAUAAUUUUUUCUAGUCAUUAAUGAGCAUUUCGGUCAAGUCCACUGAAGAUAUAAGAGCAAUAACUGGAGGCAAAUAAAAAGUUGAAAAGGCUGAGUUAAAUAAUCGUAUGCUCAUCUUUCUUCACAAGUAGAUUACACAUCUUUCUUCACAACUUUUUUAACAAAUUGAAACAGAAUUAAAGUAGAGGAGGGAAAAUCAAUUGUGGUUUGUGCAUAAUGUAUAUGACUGACUAACUAACUACGAGUUUAGCUGCCUGCCACAUCAGCAUAAUAUAACACAUAAAUAAUAUCAUUCCGCGUCGAGGAUGUCGUCAAGAUCCCCCUCUUGAAAGGAUUCCACUUACCACCUAAAUUCCAAAGCAAGACUUGGUGCUGUAAGUCAAUAAAUAUUAUAUUAUUAAUUAAUUACACACCAUAUUCAACUUCUAUAAAUGGUCAUUAUAUCUCUCUCUCUUCUUGUGAUUUCAUCAUCCAGAAAAGAAAAAGAAAAUGGGUUAUAUCACUCAGCCUUAUCAACUUUUGAUUUGCCUCCAGUUAUUGCUCUUCUAUUCUCAGUGUUCAGCUGCAAUACUUUGCUCUCACGACCAAAGUUCUGCUUUACUCCAAUUUAAGCAGCUCUUUUCCUUUCAAAAAGAUUCCUCAUCCCGUUGUGAAGGAUAUCAACAAUCUCGUCCCAAGAUGAUGUCUUGGAAAGAGGACGCUGAUUGCUGCUCCUGGGAUGGAGUAACAUGUGAUUCGGCGACGGGUCACGUGAUUGGCCUCGACCUCAGUUGCAGUUGGCUUCACGGCAACAUCCCUUCCAACAGUAGCCUUUCCUUGCUUCCUCGCCUGCGAAAGCUCAACCUAGCCUUCAAUGAUUUCAAUUACUCUAAGAUUUCUUCUGGUUUUACUGAUCAAUUUCCGAGUUUGACAGUCCUUAACCUCUCUUUCAGCGAUUUCACGGGGUCAAUUCCUGCCUCACUAGGUAACAAUAUUACACAACUUGCUUAUUUGGAUCUUUCGAAUAACAGUUUUACUGGUCAGAUUCCAUCAUCUUUUUCAAAUCUUCAGCAACUUCGUCAUUUAGAUCUUUGGGAAAAUAAGUUUGUUGGUGAAAUUCCUGCCUCACUAGGUAACAAUUUUACACAACUUGCUUAUUUGGAUCUCUCAUUUAACAGUUUUACUGGUCAGAUUCCAUCAUCUUUUUCAAAUCUCCACCAGCUUCGUCAUUUAGGUCUUUCUUUCAAUAAUUUUGUUGGUAAAAUUCCUUCAUCAUUAGGUAACAAUAUUACACAACUUGCUUAUUUGGAUCUCUCACAUAACAGUUUUGGUGGUCACAUUCCAUCAUCUUUUUCAAAUCUUCAGCAGCUUCAUCAUUUAGAUCUUCAAUCCAAUAAAUUUGUUGGUAAAAUUCCAGAUAUGUUUACCAACCUAACCCACCUUAAUUUUUUAAGCUUGGCAUCAAAUGAACUGAUAGGCUCGAUUCCAAGUUCAUUCUUUGAACUUGUGAAUGUGACUGUGAUCCAUCUUUCUUCUAACAAUUUAAGCGGCACUGUUAAGCUGUACGAUUUUGCAAAGCUCAAAAAUCUUAAAUAUUUUUAUCUUUCUAAUAAUAGUUUAUCAUUGAGCACCAAAUUAACAGUCAACUCGUCUUUCCCUAAUCUUCUGGGGUUGGGUUUAUCGGCUUGCAAUAUAAGUAAGUUUCCAGACAUCUUGAGAACUCAACAUCAGUUAGAGUGGUUGGACCUUUCUAAAAACCAAAUCCGUGGUAGGAUUCCCAGUUGGAUGUACGAUAUUGGAGUACAUACUUUGGAAGGAUUAGAUCUUUCACACAACUUCCUGACAAGCAUAGAACAUCUUCCGUGGAAAAAUCUUAGAAUUCUUUACCUUCAUUCGAACUUACUUCAAGGAUCACUUCUAGAUCUACCACCUCACUUGAAUUACUUUUCAAUUUCCACCAAUAAUUUGAUUGGAGAGAUUCCUUCAUCAUUUUGUAAUUUGAGUUCCAUUCUAUAUUUUAACUUAUCCAACAAUGGCUUGAGUGGACAAAUUCCACAAUGUCUUGGAUACUCUACACUUGAAACUUUGGAUCUACGAACGAACAACUUCCAAGGUAGCAUCCCACAGACAUAUGCAAAGGGCUGCAACUUGACUUAUCUUCGACUGAGUGGCAAUCACUUGGAGGGACCAUUACCACCAUCUUUGAUUAACUGUGUCAAUUUGCAAUUUCUUGAUGUUGGCAAUAACAACUUGAGCGGCCCAAUUCCAGAAUGUCUUGGAAACUCAACACUUGAAGUCUUGGAUAUGAGAAUGAACAAGUUCAGUGGCAGCCUCCCUCAAACAUUUGCAAAAGGUUGUGUUUUGGCAAGUUUUAACCUUAAUGGCAAUCGGUUAGAAGGACCAUUGCCUCCAUCUUUGGUUAAUUGUCGGCAUUUGGAAGUUAUAAAUGUUGGGAAUAAUCAGAUUAAUGAUUCCUUUCCCCACUGGUUAGACGUUCUUCCCGAAUUGCAAGUACUUAUAUUGCGUUCUAAUAGAUUUUGUGGUCCCAUUGGUGAUACCAAAACAAGAGUUCCUUUCCCGAAGUUGCGAAUAAUUGAUCUCUCUUACAAUCGACUCACCGGUGUUUUGCCAAUAUGGUAUCUGAAUGGUUUUAAAGCCAUGAUGCACGGGGAUGACAAUAGUAUUAAAGUCAAUUAUAUGUGGUCGCUGAAUUAUUCUUACUAUGAAUCAAUAUCUCUGACUAUGAAAGGCAAUGACAUACAAAUGGAGAGGAUUUUAACCACUUUUGCAACUAUUGAUUUGUCGAGCAACAAAUUUCAAGGGGAAAUAUCAGUAGUGUUGGGAAAGCUUAAUUCACUCAAAAGUCUCAACAUUUCUCACAACAACCUGACAGGUGGCAUUCCAUCGUCGCUAAGAAAUCUGAUAGAGCUUGAAUCUCUAGACCUCUCUUCAAACAAGCUUACUGGACGUAUCCCAACACAACUGGCAAGUCUCAAUUAUCUUUCGGUGUUGAAUUUUUCGAACAACCAGCUCGAGGGACCCAUACCAAGAGGACCCCAGUUUAAUACAUUUGGAAAUGAUUCCUAUUCUGGUAACUCGGGGCUGUGUGGAUUCCCAUUAUCGAAAAGCUGCAGCAUUGAUGAGGCACCAGAGCCAACAACACCAACAGGAUUUAUCGAAGGAGACGAUGCUUCAAGCUGGUUUGAUUGGAAGCUCGCUAAGUUGGGUUAUGCAUCUGGAGUGGUGAUCGGCUUGUCCAUUGGAUACAUGGCAUUUGCGACUGGAAGGCCACAAUGGUUUGUAAGAAUGAUCGAAAGGAAGCAAUCCACGAAGUUGAGAAGGGUGAUCAGACGAGGCGGAGCAGGUAGAAGAAGUUUGUAGGUGCAUCUCUAAAGGCCCAGGUGAGUAAUUAUUAGUUUGUCUUUUGGAAUUAUUAGCUGGUUUCUACUGUUCUUUGAGUAGAUAGCAUGCUGAUAUUAUCGUAAUCUAGCAAUUGACUUACAAAAACCACCAUCCUAAUUAAUUUCAGAUUAUGUUUAUUAUCUUCAACAUCUAUAGUGAGAAAGAAAAUUUUAACUGAAUUAUUGAUGUGGUUGUUUUCUUCAGGAAUUAUAAACUCCUAGAAGCUAUCAGUGGAAGUCAAAUAAUCCUCCAAGUACUCAAAUUGUUUUUACUUUAAUUUCAAUUUCAUGAAAUUGCUUUUACUUUUAUUUCCAUUUCAUUAGAACAUGUAAUCACAGACGUAUGUUUUGAUGGUAAAAUGAUUUGAAGGAAAUUGUGUGGGGGGAACUCUACACUUAUAUCUUCAAAUUUGGGCGUAGAACGUACUAUAUCAAAGUUUGAGAGCGGAAAACAUUCUUAUUAAGUGGGUGCAUUGCCCUCUUUGAGAAAAUGUAUUAAAUGAAAUCCCACACAUCUGCUAAUGGGAUUGUACAACGUUGACGGCACUCACAUCUGAGGGUUUAAAGUAAUUUUCGUAGAUCUUUUAUUGUAAUAUAUGUAUCUAUAUUUCAAAAGGAAGAAACCACCGUCAUCCAAAUUUAAUUAAGAAAAAUCUUCACUUUUUCAUAUAUCAACUUUUUUUCGUUUUGUAGAAACAAAAAUAAUUAUGCGUAAAAUGAAACCAAACUGCCAUUAAAUUUAGAGGGGUUUUCAUAGCGAUGCCAUACCUUAACAGCAGUCCCCACGUACGGCGCGGCCAAUGAUUCCACUUAUAACAUGUUCUUAAGAUAAUUUGAUUGGGUGUAAAAAGAAAAUGGUUUGAAUAAUUGAAAAAACAUUGGUCCAAAAUCUCUAACCUUUUAUGAUCCUUGUUCAAAUGGCCCAGUACGUGCCACGUCAACAUGUGCAAACUCAUCCACGUCACCAGCCUCAGCGCUCUCGCCACGUCAUCACUCGAUGAUCAUUGGAUUAAGAAAAACAGUUGAAUUGGGUCUCGUCAGUCGUCACAGAGGCCGAGCACAAAAGACAAAGAGAAACCGAAAUGGCGCGAGCUUUGCUUCAUUUGAAUCGCACAGCCACGGCCAUAAUAAUUAUGUUGAUUGAUGUGGUUGGACUUUCGUAUGUUAUUAUUUAAAUCCCCUAAUAUGUUAAAAUUUAAAAAACUGUAAAACUUGUUUAAAGUAACAUAAAUAUAAAAAUUACUCUACUCAAAAUCUCAACCAUAAAUUAUAUAAAUAACUAAAUAUAAAUACAAAGUUAAAAACCAUGUCUCAUUCCUUUAAAAAACACACAUUGUGGAAUUGGGCUGCUCAAGUUGUUAUUCCUGAAAUUAAUAAACAUUAAACCGAUACAAUUAACUAAAUAUGGUGACAAUGGUCCUUCUAGGCGAUUGUCAUUCAGCGUAAGCAUACAAAUUGCAACCUUUUUGCAUAUGAUUGUGGGAUUCUACCACGAAGAUUGUUCAUUCUAACAUCUAAGCACCCCACUGUAAAGUUUCCAAGGCACGGCUGAAGCUAUUAUUGGACAUAGAGAUGGCCACUCGCCAAUGCGAGUAUGUUUUAGAAGGGCACGUAGCAUGGUAUGCACACAAAUUAACAAACUAGAUAGGGCUGAGAAUUUUAAGUAUGUGGUCCUUAAAAUCAUGUCCUUCUCUAAAUGCAACAAUGGAAAAUAUCAAAUAAUCGUGACUCAAUUAAUUGUAGCAAUAAUCAUGUAGGAGAUGAUAUGAGCUUAAUUUGGGUGUACAUCUUUGGUUUUAUAAGUUGAAUUUGAAUGUGUAAUAUUAUUGUUCUGAAACUCAAUAAGAUAAUUGAUUGGGUGUAAAAAGAAAAUGGAUUGAAUAAUUGAAAUAACUUAAGUCCAAAAUCUCUGACCUUACAUGAUCCUUGUUCAAAUGACCCAGUACGUGCCACGUCUACAUGUGAAAACUCAUCCACGUCACCAGCCUCAAUAUUAUCGCCACGUCAUCACUCAACAGGUUACCAGUGACGAUAAUUUGGAUAAGAAAAAUUGUUGAAUUGAGAGCCUUCACUCUUCACAGAGAAACCAAAAAAGCGCGAGCUUUGCUUCACUUGAAUAGCACAGCCAUGGCCUUAGUGGCCAGGGCUAAAGCCUACAAGUGCUACUACAGAGACAGUUCUUGAUGGAGCUCAGUUUCAAAUGAAGAACCAAAACACCCGCGUUUUGGUACUUGGAGUUACGGGUCGGGUCGUUGGAUCCACUGCUGUUUCUCUCUACAAAUUCUGCACCAACCUUCAUAUUGUAGUUGGCUCUCGAAACAGGUCAAAUCAUCAAUGUCCUUUUCUUUCUUCUGUUUGGUUUCCGAAAAAAUGCAAGAAAUAAAGGAGGGAAAUUUUUAAAGCUUUGUUAUUUUCUGUUAUUUUUAUGUUUACUAUGUUUCUUUGGUUCUUUUAAAAUUUAAAUUCAAGGUGAUGGCUAAGGGUAAACUGCAAUGCUUUUACAUGAUUCCGAAAGCACAUUUCUAAACAGCCACUCAACUACAAGCGAUUGUCAUGUCCUGCAAUUGUAGAUUAAGGCUACAUUAGGUAGUGGUAUUGUGCGGUCGAGGCUUUUUAAGGCACAUCUACUUUUAAAUGAGAGCUACUGUGAAAUCAAAGUUUUAGUUAUAAAAUAAAAGUUUAUAGUGUUUGGUAAUUUUUUUAAAUAAUAAUUUUGAUAAAAAUAGUAAACCUAACAUAGGUUAGGCAUUUGUGGAUAAAUUUGCUUUAAUUGUCAAACUGUGGCUAUACUAUUUACUAAAUAUUUUAGAGUGCCUAAACAAGCCAUUAUAAAAUUACCAAUUAUACAAAAAAUUGUAAUUCUCUCACUUUUUGGUUUUCAUAAGCAUUCGAAAGGCAAUCAUAUCUUUUUCUUUUUUUUUAUUGAUAUGCUUUGACCACGGUAUGUUAUUAUUUUAGAAUGUUGUCAAACAUGUUAGUUCUUGGAUGGAACUAUAGAGUUGUGAAUUCAAAUAGUUAUGGCUGGAAUGUUUCCUAAUUUAGAGUGUUGCUGAGAAAAUUCUGCAUACUGGCAGGGAAAAAAGUGCCACAAUGGUCUCUACACUGAGGAAGAAUUCUGCAUUUGCUGAAGUUAACGUUGACAAUGAAGGCUCAUUAUUAAUGGCUUUAAUGUUGUGUUUACUUUCUGAAGUGGGAGUAAGGAGUGUGGAUUCCUCCCACUCUAAUGUUCACUUCAACAUUUUAAGGUAGGAUGGGGAGUGGGAGUGGGACUCCAAUGUUCCGCUCCCACCUCUUCCUUUUCUACCCUCUUUUUAUUAAAUUUAAUAUAAUUAUAUUUAAUAAAUUAAUUCCACUCCCACCUCUUCCUUUUCUACCCUCUUUUUAUUAUAUUUAAUAUAAUUAUAUUUAAUAAAUUAAAAUAAAUAAUAUUAUAUUUAUUUAAAUAAUAUUAUUAUAUUUAACUAAAUAAUAAUUUGUAUUGAUUCUAAGUUAAAAUUACUUAAAAAUAAUAUUAUUAUAUUAAUAGAGAAUUAAUAAUAUUACUAUAAACUAUCUUUAUCUGAAAAUAUAAUACUAUUAUAUUUAUUUAAAAAUAAUAGUAUUAUAUUUAUUUAAUAUUAAUAAUUAAUAGUAAUAAAUAGUUUAUUCUAAGAAAAUAUUAAUUUCGUACUAUCUUAAUAGUAAAAAUGUUUUAUUUAUAUUGCCCUUAUCAAUAAUUUUUAAUUUACAUACUUAAAAUUAAAAUUAAUAAAACAAUGUGAUGUACAGAAUUAAGAAUAUUAAGAAUUAUUAUAAUUUUACAAAUAUAAUAAAAUAAAUAUUUACUCAUCAAAUAUAUAUUGUUAAUAACUUUGUAAUUAAAAACUAUAAUUCUUUAAAUAAAGGUAAAAUUAUAAUUUGAAACUAUUUACUCCCAAUUCAAGAUAAAGUAAACACAUAAAUUAGAUUCUUAUUUCCAUUUCAUACUUCCAUUCUGAUGUAAGUAAACAACAUGCUCUCACUCCUACUUUACACUCUCAAUCCUAAAAUUUCCACUUUUCAGAAUUCUUACUUCAAUCUAAAAUGUAAACACUACCUAAGAAGUGUGAUCAUUCCUCUCGUACUAGAUGUAUCUUCUGUUACUCCGCAUCAAUAAUUAUUUUUCUUCUAGGGUCGUGGUAAAGGAAUUUUUUCAGGACAGAUAUUUCGUUAUUGACAAUAUUUUAAUGAUGUUUUAGUCUAUAGUUGAAAUGCUGCAACUUUGCUUCUGCAGAUGUGGAUCUUGUGGUUCAUGCAGCAGAGCCUUUUCAAGAGGCACCGAAAUGCACUGUAUUGGAAUUUGCCAUGGAAACCAAGGUGAGGAAAGGUAAAUGUUGUGUUUGAUUCUCUCUUUUCCAAGUCCAGUUUUCUACGUUUUAUAUAUGUGAUGAUUGAAGUAUGUAUACAACUUUACUAUGUAACCGAGAUGUCAUCUUAUGUGUUCUUUUUGUGUCUCCUAACAGACAGCAUACAUUGAUGUUUGUGACGAUACCAGCAACUCUCAGCCCGCAAAGUCCUUCGAGGUUAAAGCAAUAACUGCAAACAUUCCAGCCGUAACUUCUGAAGGAAUCUAUCCAGGAGUAAGCAAUGGUGAUUUUAUGAACAUUCUUGUCCUGCAAUCUGCACUUCUACUGCAGAAAAUUAAAUAUAUGAUGUGAAGUGAAGAGUAUGGAUGGAUAGAGCACAAAUUCUGCAAUUGAAACAUGUAAAGCCUACAAAUUCUUGCUUUAGAGCUAAAACAUCAUUGUUGGUGAACCCAUAGGCCUGGCUCCAAAGCUCUUAUAUAUUAUGGACAGGAUCCAGCGUGCUUGUGUUCAUAUACAUGAUUUUUGCCACCGGAAGACCUCAGUGUUUUGUAAAGAUGAUUGAACGGAAGCAAUCUAAGAAGGUCACGAGGAGGGUGCAUCCACUGCUCCAAGCUAUUUGUAGGUUGCACGCUGAUUUUGAUAUAUUCUGAACUACUAUUUGAACUGCAUAAUAAUGUGACGUGUUUUUUGUACAGGAAUUUUAGACUCAUGGAAGGUAGCAUUGGAAGUGAAUCAAUCCUCCUGGUGCCAAAUUUGCCUUGCUUUAUUUCCAUAUCUUUAUUGGUAAUUAAAUUUAUAAAAUAUUUGAGGGAAAAAAUGAUUCGAAAAAUUAUUGAUGUGGGAAAUGGCGUGGGCUGACUUUGAUUUAGUGCAUCUCUGGGCUAUGAAAUGUUGAAUUUGGGCGUACUUGGAAGCCUGCAACAAGAUGAACAACAUUCACUGUCAUUUAGGAAAUUACCCAUGAGACUAUUGACAAAUUUCAAUGUUUCUGGACUAAAUAUCGCAUUUCAAGUUACUUAAUUUCGAGCACUUUAGGAAUCUUCUAUGAUUUUAUUUUUAUUUUUAUUUUAUAAGAAGUUCAUUUGUUACUUCAGUGUUAUAUCUUUUUCUUACUCUAAUUUCCAGUAUUUUUCUAAUAAUGGUUGGAAUCUGCUGUGUUCAUAGAUUAGGCAUUAACAGGCUAUAAAACCUCAAGGCUAAACAAUUUUUAUCAAUUAAACAUAUUAUUCGGAAACUUUAUUUCUUCUUUUCGUCUCACUUUAGAAAUAUUUAUAAGCCCAACGAAUUUGCCCGUUUAACAAAUUGUUCUUUGUAUGCGCCAUGGGGAAAAUCAAAUAAUAUUUAUAGGCUAACUUCAAUGCCUUCUUGCAUAUAAUUGUAAGAUUUGGGCAUUUAAUAUGUCAUUUGAAGUACGCAAUGAGAUGGAUAAAAAUCUUUUCCUUCUCGUGAUGUAUGCGAGACUUUUUGCCAAAUUCCAAUGCCUUCUUGCAUUAAAAGUGGGACACAUUAUUUUGUAUUAAAACGAAUUUGCCAGUUUAACACAUUGUACUAAUCAAAUAACUUUAUUUGAUUCGCUAUUCGAUCAUAAGGGAUGUAGGUGUUAUAACAUAUAUAUGGAUACAGUCUAUUCCUCUACCUUAUAUAAAACAAUAAUAACACCAACUGGAGUCUAGGCGGCUGCCACAUCACCAUGUACGACAGACAACUAACAUUUUUCUUAUCUAUAUAUCGUUUGAGCUUUAAUUUGGACUGGUUCAUGGAAAUUGAAUAAUCAAAGUCUACUAAAGACGUCAAGAAAGGAAACGAGUAAAAUACAAACAUAGUCUAUCAAUGUUUAAUGCUUAAUGUAACGUUACGUGUUGGCUGUAUUAAUAGAAAUUCUCCGCAUCUGCCAAUAGGCUCGUAGCCCCUUGACAACACUCAUGCUCUCAAAUCUUGAGAGCAAUUAAUUCGUGGGACUCACUUUUUUCUGUCAGUAUAAUUAGAUAUGGGUAGAUUUUUUCCACUAAUAUAAAUAGAGCAUAUAUCCCUAACAAAUUUACGAAAUUAUCCAUCUGACUUUUAGGAAAUUAUACCAUUUCAGGACCCAAAAUUGCAUUUGAAUUUAUUUUAAAUUACAGCGCUGAGGACCAACAAAGUGUUGGCUCCACUGGCAAUGGAGUCCCCUUAAGUGGCUUGACUGGGUUUGCUCCCCAGUUCGAGUCGCAGGGAAGUCGCCUUUGUUGGGAGAACAUGUGCCUCCCGGUUCGAGCGGGGACUUCUAGUCUGGGUUGUGGUACGGGCUUAAAGGUGUCUCCCAUAGUUGGGGCCCUCCCCAGGAUACCUCGUGAUUAUAUCAAAAAAAAAAUUACAGCGCUGAGGAAACUUCUAAGAUUUGUACUUUUAUUUUCAUAACAAAUUGUUAAGCAACUUCCGUUUGUUGCGUUUUUAAUUAAUUUCAAUUUAAUCCUUAAUCUUCUCUGAAUUUCUUUUCUUUUUUUUCAGCUUAGGAGAGCAUAUUAACGCCUACAUAAAAGAAGCUAUAUACCACUGUAAAUAGAGUACUAUUAGUACAAAAUUAAUUCAAACUAGUGAAAAAGAUCACAAAUUUAUAAAGCCUUACUGUGGAAUGCUCAAUGUUGACUUAGGAAAAGGGUUUAAGAUCUAUAUUGAGAAUUGAUCAAGCAAUUUCAGCAUAGAGAUUACACACAUAUAUAGUAAACAAUUAAGAGUAAAUGGAAGGUUGAAUUUUACAAAACUAGCGACAAAUGCACCAAUAAACUAGACUUGGUGCUCUGACUCUAAAGGUGUUCUAUUUAAUUAGAUUCCCCUGUAGUGGUGUGAUUAAAAGAGAUGGAUAGAAAAGGUUAUUUUAACUUAAGAGGUGGACUUGACUAAAGUGUUCAUUAAUGACAUGACGUUGAGAAAGAAAGACUUAUUCUCUACAUACCUCUUAAUUUGGGCAAUCCUACAUCAGUAACUUUCAACUUUUUUUUAUUCUUCCCAUGGGUUUCAUUAUCAUAAUUGUGGAAAAAAAGUUGUUGUUUGGAGUUUUGCAAAAUUAGCCAUAAGUUCAUGCAUCAACUAGAUUCCAAAACAAUAUCAUCAGGCUCAGUAUAACAAAGGACUUGGUGCAUACUCUAAGUCCAAAUGAAUUAUAAUUAAUUAGAUUAUUUCAUCCUCAAUUUUAAACGUUAGUAUUGAUCAAUCUUAAAAGUAGAUUACCCAUAUUAACUUGCAGUAAACUAAUUAAGAAGUAAAUGGAUGGUCGAACAACCUGCUUAACAAAUCGAAACAGAGGAGGGAAAAAUAUGAGUCUAGCUGGCUGUUACAUCUCUUUUUACAUACAUAAAUAAAUAUCAAAAUUAUUAUUAAUUGGAUGCAGCUUCAGCUUUGGUGCUGGUUUGUGAAAAUUGGAAAAACUGGAAAAUUGAUAGCUCUUUCUCCUUUUGAAGAAUCAAAGUCUACUUUAAAUAAUAAUCCCCAUCAAUAUUUAAUGCUUGUUAUUGACUUUAAACCAGCGGCCGCUUUCAGAAAGAAAGACUUCAAUCGAAAAGUAAAUAGAUUCCCUCCUUUACUUCCACUUCAUGAGUUACAACUAACCAUUUCACUUCUAUAUAUGGUAAUUUCUCUUCUUGGGAUUUCAUCAGGAGAAAAAAAGGAAAAAAAGAAAAGAAAAGAAAAGAAAAUGGGAUAAUAUCACUCAGCCUUAUCAACUUUUGAUUUGCCUGCAGUUAUUGUUCUUGUAUUAACGAGGCUAUGUAUCAUUCAAUUAACUAAACACAUUUUGGUGAACAUACAACUGAAAUCAUUUUCACACAAUAACGUAGCAAAAAGCUACUACAUAUCACAAUGUUGACCACUGGGCUAAUCAAGCAUUUACCUUUCCUAAUACAAUUUAUCACAAAACGAUUAUCCCUUUUCAUAUUUUAAGUUCAGUAGUAAGAAAACAGUGUCCGUUUCAUAUUUUCAGUUAUUGCUCAAUCCCUUUACAAAAAAGUAUGUACAUUUACAAGGGAUAGAAGAUUUUGGUUUGACUUUGAUAUGACCAUAAAUACUAUUGAAAUUACAAGCUUUAGAAGUUCACAAAAUAAAUAUUGUAAAUUUAAGGGGGCUAAAUCAUAAGCUUUACAAAUAAGUGGAUUCAAUUUUAGUUUGUACCUUUAUCAGUUAAUCUAAUUUUCCAAUUUUCAAACCAAAAUUUAGUUUUUAAUUUUUUGAUUAAAUUUCUUUAGAAAAUACUCAACUAAAUACUAUUUAUAGUUAAAUAUUAGUUUGAAUGAACACAUUCAUAGAUAAUUGUGUAAGCAAUUUAUUUGGUUAAUUAAUGGUUGUAAUCUUUAAAAAUGAGAAUUACUAAUUUUAAAAAAUUCCAAUGGUUACUGUAUUAAAAGUAUGUUUGGAACAUAGCAUUGCAUAGUAUUAUAAUACUAUUCAUAUUAAUUUAUCGCUAACCUAUGUUUGGUAAUUUUAGAAGCCACAUUGUGGUGCAUGUGCACCAGAAUGUGCCAACUGUUGCCUCAAUUGAGAUGUUGAACAUAUUCUAAUUAUCAUUUAAUAAUAAAUAAAAUAAAAUAGAAGUUAAAUUAUAAUGUUUUUAUUUAAUAACACAAUAUUACAUUAUAUUUAUACAUUAGUAAUUAAUAUAAAAUAAUAAUUUAAUAACUAUUUUAAUAUAAUUAUUGGUAAAGUAAUAAUAAAUCUAAAUAAUACUAAUUUAAUAUUAGUACAAAAUUAACAAAGUACAAUUUAACGCUAAAUAUUAUACAAUAUUAUUAUAAUACAAUUCUAAUUCAAUAUCUCAUAAAGUGCAUUAAAAGACAUGAUACGGUAUAAGUGAAGAGUAAUGGAUUUUAGUUUGCAUUAACGUAUGCCCAUUACUAUAAACCAAUGGCCCAACACUUGGCAUGUCAAAGACAAAAACUAUCCAUACUGGCGCCACAUCAUCACUCAUUGUAAACUGAAAAGAAAAUUUUUGAUAAGAAAACAGUUGAAUAAUUGAAUUUCGAGUCUUUGGUGGACAUUAUCCUUUUUAUAGUAAAUAUAUCUUUGAGUUAAACAGUUACUAAAACAUUGGGGCUAAUUUUUCAUUUAACUACAAAAUUACUUUUAUUGGAACCCAUAAAACAAUUUUUAAGAGGUUAAUUAGUUAUGUCACAUCUUCAACUAUUGUCAAAUUAUUAUUCGAGUUCAUCAUUUAAGUGGUAAAUGCGUUACUUAAAACAUUUCAAAUGAUAUAUUAAACAAAUAUUUUGAGGAACAAGGCUCAUUAUGUCUCCUCUCAUUAGUUGUAUUUUUAAUUUCUUUUUAAAAAAUUCUCUCAUAUUCAAUUAAAAAAAAUCAGCCACUCAAAAAAAAAAAAAAAUACUUAGCUUCGCGGCUGAAUGGGGCUAAAUUAUGUAUUGUUUGACUAGCAAAACUCUUACCACAUCGGCUGCCCACGUCAUAUGUGCCCACUAAGUUUAUUAUGGUGAAGUCCAUGUCAACAUGUCAAAACUCGGCCACGUCAUCAACUACGUCAUCUCUCAACUAGUUAUAACGGAUGAUAACUUGGAUGAGCAAAACAAUUGAAUUGAGUCUCUUCACAAAAGUAGGACCAUAAUUAUAACUAAUUUAUAAAAUUUAUAUUACUUUAUUUGCAAUAUCGUUUUUAAUUAUGUCUAUAUUAGUAUGAAUCUUAAACUCAAGUUUUGGAUUAAUAGAAUCUAGUAUUAUUAAAGUCCUUUGGGAUAGACUAAUAAUAACUUAAUAUUAAAAAUAAUUUUCAUUAUUUAUGUUACCUUAUUAAUUAUACUUCUUGUUUUAUUUUAUUCCUAUCAGAAGCUAUUUAUUUAUUAUUUUUAUUUUAUUACUAUAUUUAUAUUUAUUUAGGUUAUUAUAAUCAAAGGUUAUAAUAGUUAUUUAUAAGGAGGGUCUAUGUGACCACCUAAGCAAACCUUAGGGCCGUGGUUACGGGGGUGGUCCUUUUUCCCUAAGCAAUAAUGUAUGAAAUGACCUUGAAUGUACUUAAAUCAUAUGCAACCUAUUUACUAUCUCUCUUUGAGAGUUUUUUUUUUUAUUGAAUAUUAGAUAUUGAGAGACUUAAUCAGAUGCGAUGAGCAACAUGUCACCUAAUUAUAGACUGGUGUGUUAAAAGCUUGGUCAAUUAUCAAGUAACACGUGGUAUCACGCACAAUAACAUACACGAUGAUGCACAUCUGAUCAUUCUUUUUGGAUAUCAAUUGAUCUAAGCCUACAAGUUCAACGUAUAGAGUACACGUAUUUACAGUAGAAUACAAAGUGUGUCAACUUGCUUAAUAAACUAAAACAUAAUCAAAAUAGAGGAGGGAAAAUGAACAGUGUGUCUAUGUAUGUGUAAUUGGAGUUUGGAUCUUACGGACUUAGUCGACUAACUUUCAAAUAACUUCAUUUGAUUCGCCAUUGGAUGAUAAAGGAGGUAUGUGUUAUAACAUGUAUAACUUCAGAUUUCGAAUUUCAACCCCAUUCCUAUGGAUGUGGAGAAAUUUGAAUAGUCAUAAAAUUAUAAAUGGAUGUGGAGAAAAUUGUAGUGAAGUAAUUAAGAAGUAAAUGGAAGGUCUAACAGCUUGCUAAGAAGCUGAAAUAGAAUCAAAACAGAGAAGGGAAAAUGAAUUUUGUCUGUGUAAAGUGUCCGUUUAAUGUCAGUUUGAACCAUGAGUUUCAUAGCCGUGGAAAAGAAAUUGAAGUAGUUUGGAAUUUUACUAAAUUGACCACAAAUUCAUGCACCUACUAGAUUCCAAAACCAUAUCGUGAGGCUCCCAGUAUAACAAGACUUGGUGCAUGCUCUAAGCCUAAAUGAAUUACAAUUAAUUAAGAUACUCCUCCUCAAAAGAUAGUAUUGAUGAAGCUUACAGUUAGAUUACACAUAUUAAUUUGUAGUCCACUAAUGGAAGGUCUAACAACUUAGCUUAACAAACUGUAACAGAGUCAAAACAGGGGAGGGAAGAUGAAUUGUGUUUGUGUAAAUGACUGUUAGUCUAGCUAGCUGUUACACCGGCAAAUAUGACAGAUAACGAACAUCUCGCCGAACUUAAGUAAAUAUCUAAAUGGUUAUUAAUUGGAUACAGCUUCAGCUUUUGGACUGGUUUGUGGAAAUUGAAAAAAUUUGAAAAGUGUUCCUCUUGAAGAAUCAAAGUCUACUUUAUACGUAAAGAAAGGGGAUCCCAGUAAAGAUAAUCCAUCAAUGUUCAGUGGAAUAAUUAAAAGUGAUUUUUUAAUUAUUCCACUGCCCAACAUGAGAUUCCAAAGCAAGACUUGGUUCCCUAAGUCAAUAAGUAUCGAGGGGUCCACACGCAUUUCCGCGAGGCAUUAAAUAUAUUUUAAUUAUAAUUAUAAUAAAUAAAAUAUAAAAUAAGUUAUAUUAUAAUAUUACACAAAUAGAUUACACAUAUUAUUCCUCCUCAUCUUUCUUAACAAGUAGAUUACACAUAUAUAUUAUCAAGAAGUAAAUGGAAGGCCGAACAACUUUUUUAACAAACUGAAACAGAAUUAAUGCAGAGGAGGGAAAAUCAAUUGUGCUUUGUGCAUAAUGUAUAUGACUGACUAACUAACUAAAUUAAUGGUGUUGGAUUAAUAGAUGGGAAGACGUUCAAGAAGCCACGUUGUCCGUACGAGAAGGAGCGUUUAGAUGCCGAGUUGAGGCUGGUGGGAAGUUUCGGGCUGCGGUGCAAGAGGGAGCUGUGGAGGGUUCAGUAUGCAUUGAGUCGGAUUCGCAACGCGGCGAGGGAUCUUCUCACUCUGGACGAGAAGGACCCUCGCCGCAUCUUCGAAGGCCAGGCCCUCCUUCGCAGGAUGUUUAGGUACGGCCUUUUGGAGGCGACUCAGCAUAAAUAACACAUAACUAAUAUCAUUCCGCGUCGAGCACGUCGUCAAGAUCUCCCUCUUGAAAGGAUUCCACUUACCACCUAAAUUCCAAAGCAAGAAGACUUGGUGCUGUAAGCCAAUAAAUAUUAUAUUAUUAAUUAAUUACACACCAUAUUCAACUUCUAUAAAUAGUCAUUAUAUCUCUCUCUCUUCUUGUGAUUUCAUCAUCCAGAAAAGAAAAAGAAAAAGAAAAUGGGUUAUAUCACUCAGCCUUAUCAACUUUUUAUUUGCCUCCAGUUAUUCCUCUUCUAUUCUCAGUGUUCAGCAAUACUUUGCUCUCACCACCAAAGUUCUGCUUUACUCCAAUUUAAGCAGCUCUUUUCCUUUGAAAAAGAUUGUUCAUCCGGUUGUGAUAUAUUUCAACAAAUAUCUCGUCCAAAGAUGAUGUCUUGGAAAGAGGACGCUGAUUGCUGCUCCUGGGAUGGAGUAACAUGUGAUUCGGUGACGGGUCACGUGAUUGGCCUCGACCUCAGUUGCAGUUGGCUUCACGGCAACAUCCCUUCCAACAGUAGCCUUUCCUUGCUUCCUCGCCUGCGAAAGCUCAACCUAGCCUUCAAUGAUUUCAAUUUCUCUAAAAUUUCUUCUGGUUUUACUAUUCAAUUUCCAAGUUUGACACUCCUUAACCUCUCUUUCAGCAAUUUCACGGGGCCAAUUCCUGCAUCACUAAGUAACAAUAUUACACAGCUUGCUUAUUUGGAUCUCUCAUCUAACAGUUUUAGUGGUCACAUUCCAUCAUCUUUUUCAAAUCUGCAGCAGCUUCGUCAUUUAGAUCUUCGGGGCAAUAACUUUGUUGGUGAAAUUCCUGCGUCAUUAGGUAACAAUAUCACACAGCUUGCUUAUUUGGAUCUAUCAUUUAACAGUUUUAGCGGUCAGCUUCCAUCGUCUUUUUCAAAUCUUCAGCAGCUUCGUCAUUUAGAUCUUCAGGACAAUAACUUUGUUGGUGAAAUUCUUGUGUCAUUAGGUAACAAUAUUACACAGCUUGCUUAUUUGGAUCUAUCAUUUAACAGUUUUAGUGGUCACAUUCCAUCAUCUUUUUCAAAUCUUCAGCAGCUUCGUGAUUUAGGUCUUGGGGGCAAUAAAUUUGUUGGUCAAAUUCCGGAUAUGUUUACCAACCUAACCCAACUUUCUUCUUUAAACUUGGCAGAUAAUCAACUGAUUGGCUCGAUUCCAAGUUCAAUCUUUGAACUUGUUAAUUUGACUGAGAUCUAUCUUUCUUUUAACAAUUUCAGUGGCAGCGUUGAGCUUUACGAUUUUGCAAAGUUCAAAAAUCUUAAAUAUCUUAUUCUUUCUAAUAUUAGUUUAUCAGUUAGCACCAAAUUAACAGUCAACUCGUCUUUCCCUAAUCUUUGGGUGUUGGGUUUAUCGGCUUGCAAUAUAAGUGAGUUUCCAGACAUCCUGAAAACUCAACAUCAGUUAGACUGGUUGGACCUUUCUGAAAACCAAAUCCGUGGUAGGAUUCCCAGUUGGAUGUGGGAUAUAGGAGUACAUACUUUGUUUCGCCUAGAUCUUUCACGAAACUUCCUGACAAGCAUAGACCAUCUUCCGUGGAAAAAUCUCGAAUUUCUUACCCUUGAUUCGAACCUACUUCAAGGAUCACUUCCAGAUCUACCACCUCACAUGGUACAGCUUUCAAUUUCCAACAAUAGUUUGACCGGAGAGAUUCCUUCAUCAUUUUGUAAUUUGAGUUCCAUUCAAUAUCUUUACUUAUUCAACAAUAGCUUGAGUGGACAAAUUCCACAGUGUCUUGGAAACUCUACACUUGAAACUUUAGAUCUCGGAAUGAACAACUUCCAAGGUAGCAUCCCACAGACAUAUGCAAAGGGCUGCAACUUGACUUAUCUUCGGCUGAGUGGCAAUCACUUGGAGGGACCAUUACCGCCAUCUUUGAUUAACUGUGUCAAUUUGCAAGUUCUUGAUGUUGGGAAUAACAACUUGAGCGGCCCAAUUCCAGAAUGUCUUGGAAACUCAACACGUUUGUCAUUUCUUGAUGUUGGGAAUAACAACUUGAGCGGCCCAAUUCCAGAAUGUCUUGGAAACUCAACAAGUUUGUCUUUUCUUGAUGUUGGGAAUAACAGCUUGAGCGGCCCAAUUCCGGAAUAUCUUGGAAACUCAACACUUGAAGUCUUGGAUAUGAGAAUGAACAAGUUCAGCGGCAGCCUCCCUCAAACAUUUGGAAAAAGUUGUGUUUUGGUAAGUCUUAAACUUAAUGGAAAUCGGUUGGAAGGACCAUUGCCUCCAUCUUUGGUUAAUUGUCGACAUUUAGAAGUUAUAGAUGUUGGGAACAAUCAGAUUAAUGAGACCUUUCCCCACUGGUUAGACGUUCUUCCCGAAUUGCAUGUACUUACAUUGCGUUCUAAUAGAUUUCGCGGUCCCAUUGGUGAUACCGAAACAAGAGUUCCUUUCCCCAAGUUGCGAAUAAUUGAUCUCUCUUACAAUCGAUUCACCGGUAUUUUGCCAAUAUGGUAUCUGAAUGGUUUUAAAGCCAUGAUGCACGGGGAUGUCAAUAGUAUUGAAGUCAAUUAUAUGAGGUCGUUGAAUUAUUCUUACUAUGAAUCAAUAUCUCUGACUAUGAAAGGCAAUGACAUACAAAUGGAGAGGAUUUUAACCACUUUUGCAACUAUUGAUUUGUCGAGCAACAGAUUUCAAGGGGAAAUAUCAGAAGUGUUGGGAAAGCUUAAUUCACUCAAAAGUCUUAACAUUUCUCACAACAACCUGACAGGUGGUAUUCCAUCGUCGCUAAGAAAUCUAACAGAGCUUGAAUCUCUAGACCUCUCUUCAAACAAGCUUGCUGGACGUAUCCCAACACAACUGGCGAGUCUCAAUUAUCUUUCGGUGUUGAAUCUUUCGAACAACCAGCUCGAGGGACCCAUACCAGGAGGACCCCAAUUUAAUACAUUUGGAAUUGAUUCCUAUUCUGGUAACUUGGGGCUGUGUGGAUUCCCAUUAUCAAAAAGCUGCAGGAUUGAUGAGGCACCAGAACCAACAACACCAACAGGAUUUAUCGAAGGAGACGACGCUUCAAGCUGGUUUGAUUGGAAGCUCGCUAUGUUGGGUUACGCAUCUGGAGUGGUGAUCGGCUUGUCCAUCGGAUACAUGGCAUUUGUGACUGGAAGGCCACAAUGGUUUGUAAGAAUGAUCGAAAGGAAGCAAUCCAGGAAGCUGAGAAGGGUGAUCAGUCGAGGCAGAGCUGGUAGAAGAAGUUUGUUGGUGCAUCUCUAAAGGCCCAGGUGAGUAAUUAUUAGUUUGUCUUUUGGAAUUAUAAGCUGGUUUCUACUGUUCUUUAAGUAGAUAGCAUGCUGAUAUUAUCGUAAUCUAACAGUUGACUUGCAAAAAUCACAAUCCUAAUUAAUUUCAAGUUAUGCUUAUUAUCAACAUCUAUAGUGAGAAACAAAAUGAGGAUAAUGUAUAAGAAAGAAAAUUUUAACUGAAUUAUUGAUGCGAUUGUUUUUACUUUUAUUGCCAUUUCAUUAGAACAUGUAAUCACGGACGUAUGUUUUGAUGGUAAAAUGAUUUGAAGUAAUAUUGUUGCAGGAAAUUGUGCGGGGGUAACUUUGGUUUGUAAUCAUGUACUUCAAAUUUGGGCGUAGAACAUGUUAUUUCAAAGUUUGUGAGCAGACAACGUUGUUUGCCUUUGGCUCAGUGAUAUCAAUUUAAAAACUCAGAGCUUAAUUAAUAACUCUAUUAAGUGUGUGCAUUGCCCUUCUUGGAUUGACAGCACUCAUCCCACACAUCUUCCCAUGCAAGGAUUUCCACUCAUCAAUUAGCAAAAAUUGAAAAACAUUAUAAUUAAAUGUGUGUGUGUACGUAUAUGAUUCAGCAGAGUACUCCUAGUCUUAAGUUGAACAUCAAUAAUUAAUUGAAAAACAUUAUAAGUAGAUGAGAUUACAAAUAUGAUCAAUGUUUAAUAAAAUCCACCAUCAAAAAAUGAAAAAGUCCUAAUUAAUGACUUUCAUUUUUUGAUCCUUCCAAUGAGUGCACAUAUAGCCGUGGAAAAGAAGCUAAAGUAUAUAGUCUGCAAUUUUACAAAACUGGCGACAAAUCAAUGCACCAACUAGACUCCAAAACAAGAUGACGAGUUACAUUUAGUAACAAGACUUGGUGCUGUAAGUCUAAAAGUAUUAUAUUUAUUAUUACUAUUUUUUUUAAAAGUGUUGUAUUUAAUUAGAUUCCCCUGUUUUGGUGUGAGUUAAGGAGAUGGCUACGAUAAGUUUUUUAUUCUCGUAAGGGGGACUUGAAUAAAGUGCUCAUUAUUAAUGGCUUUGAGAAAGAAAGACUUGUUCUAUAUAUCCCUCUUAAUUUGAACAAUCUUUCUUCAGCAACUUCCAACCUUUUUUUAUGCUUGCCAUGGGUUUCGUAGCUGUGGAAAAGAAGUUAAAGUAGUUUGGAAUUUUAUUAAAUUGGCCACAAAUUCAUGCAACUUUCAACCUUUUUUAUGGAUUCCAUUGGUUUCAUAGCAUGGAAAAGACGACAGACAACUAACAUUUCUCUUAUCUAUAUAUCGUAAGUGUUAUAACAUAUAUAUGGAUACCGUUUAUUCCUGUAACUUGUAUAAAACAAUAAUAACAACAACUGGAAUCUAGGCGGCUGCCACAUCACCAUGUAUGACAGACAGCCACAUCACCAUAUAUCAUUUGACCUUUAAUUUGGACUGGUUAGUGGAAAUUAGAAAAACUCGAAUAAUCAAAGUCUACUAAAGACGACAAGAAAGGAAACGAGUAAAAUACAAACAUAGUCUAUCAAUGCUUAUGCUUAAUGUGACGUUGCGUCUUGGCUGUAUUAAUAGAAAUCCUCCUCAUCUGCCAAUAGGCUCGCACCCUGUUGACAGCACUCAUGCUCUCAAAUCUUGAGAGCAAUUAAUUCGUGGGACUCACUUUUUUAUAUCCAUAUAAAUAGAGCAUAUAUCCCUCAAAAAUUUAUGAAAUUAUCCAUCCGACUUUUAAAUUAUACCAUCUCAGAGCUGAUGAGUGACAAGAUGAACAACGUUACUCAUUGCCUUUGAAUAUCCAUCCGACUUUUAGGAAAUUAUACCAUUUCAAGACCCAAAAUUGCAUUUGAAUUUAUUUUAAAUUACAGCCCUGAGGAAACUUCUAAGAUUUGUACUUUUAUUUUCAUAACAAAAUCCUAAGCUACUUCCGUUUGUUGCGUUUUUAAUUAAUUUCAGUUUACACCUUAAUCUUCUCUUAAUUUCUUUUCUUUUUUUUCAAACUCGCCAAUUGCGUUGCAAUGAUGCAAUCAACCCAAUAAGCUUGUUUGACCAGAGGUCUAAAGAUUCAAGUAAUGUUAGAUUUUCCAACAAUAAUGGAGCGCCACCUAUCAAGUUGUUGUGAGACAUUUGAGUGAAUUAAACUUUCCCACUAUUUACGGAAUUUCCCCUUGAAAUUGAUUGCUCAACAAAUGAAUUGACAUGAAAAUGGUUAGAAUCAUCUGUAUUUGUUGGUCUAUUCCUUCCAUGAUCAAACUUAUCAAUUCAUAGUAGGAGUUGAAAUCUUUAAGCCUCAUAAAUUUUGCUUAAUGAUCAACACAAUUGUUAUCUCCAUAUAUCAGGCUUUAAAAUUAUCAAGAUACUGAAUUGGCAAAACACGAGUCAGUUGAUUGUGAGAGCGAUCAAUUAUUUACAGCUUUGAAAUAGGAACUCUUGUUUGGGUAUGACCAAUGGGACUGCAAAUCAGUUAGAUCGUAAUAUAAUUACUUGCAAUUUAGGAAGAAUUUCUAACCAAUGAGAAGAGGUAUCAUUAACAUGAUUGUUCACAAUAUCAAAAAUUUCCAAAUGCUGAUAGUUAACCAAAGAUUGAGGCAAUAGUCCUUCCAACUGAUUGCUAUUAAGGUUAAAACUUAGGAAGUCACAGCUUUUUGCAAACAUUUGAGAAAUGCUGCAAAGAGUUGUAAUUUGAGAAAUCUUUAACCUUAAUGACAAUCAAUUAGAAGGAUUAUUACCUCUCUCUUUGGUUAACUGUUGGCAUUUGGAAGUUUUUGAUAAUAAAAAUGAUCAUGUUAAUAAUAUCUUUCUUUAUUGGUUAGAAAUUAUUCAUAAAUUGUAAGUGCUUAUAUUACGAUCUAACCAAUUUCGUGAUCCCAUUGGUCAUAUUAAAACAAGAGUUCCCUUCCCCAAGUUGGGAAUAAUUGAUCUCUCUCAGAAUUAACUCACUGGUGUUUUGCCAACUCAGUAUCUUGAAAAUUCUAAAGUCAUAAUGCGUGGGGAUAACAAUAAUGUUGAUUUCAACUCUUACUAUGAAUUAAUAAUUUUGACCAUAGAAGGAACCGACCAACAAAUGGAGAGGAUUCUAAUCAUUUUCAUGCCAAUUGAUUUGUCGAACAAUCAAUUUCGAGGAAAAUUUUAGAAGUGGUGAGAUAAAUUAAUUCACUUAAAUGUCUUAACAUUUUUCACAACAAGCUGACAAGUUGCAUUCCAUCAUUGUUGGGAAAUCUGUCAGAGCUUGAACGUUUUGACUUCUUCUCAAACAAGCUUAUUGGGCUGAUUCCAAUGCGAUUGGCGAGUCUGAAAUUUCUUUUCUUGCUAAAUUUUUUGUACAGCCAGCUUGAGGGACAUAAACCUCAAGGACCUCAAUUAACUACAUUUUCAAACGAUUUUUAUACUGUAAACUUGAGGUUGUGUGGUUUUCAUUAUCACAAAGCUAACAUUGAGACAUUAGAAUUGUUACUAACAAGAUUGGAUAAAAGAGAUAGUAAUUCGAGCUGGUUUGAUUGGAAGUUCGCUAAGAUGACCAAUGAACCUGGUGGCCUAUGGCAUGACACAUGUACAACACAUGGCAUAAUACAGGCAGAGUUUCAGUAGGGCACCAGAACGACAUGUGUCCGUACAACACGGUAUGAGCACAUUUUGAUAGGGCAUGUGGCACGACAUUACAUGGCACGUACGCGGGUUGAGCUAGGCUGGAUUAAUAAUUUUAGGUACAUGUGCUUAACAAGCACAAUACGAUUAGAGAUAGUAUAAAACACAACACAUGAAAAGGUCCGCAAUAAGAACGUUUAUCUGUUGGGCUAGCAUACGGCUUGCAGACCAUCAAUAACAUGUGGGCCAAUACAUAUUUUAGUAUUUUUUUUUUAUGAAAGUAAAAUUGAAAUUUUAUGAUUUUACAAAUAAUUUAAAUUUGAAUCUUUUUAUCUAUUUCAUUAGCAUAGUUUUUUAAAAAUUCAUUUAAUUCUUAGUUUUAAAAAAAUACUCUAAUUGUUUUACAUUUAUAAUUUACUAAAUGAAUAGAUGAUCAUGAUUUUAAAAAAUAAAAUUAUAAAUAUCAUGAUUUCAUAAAUGUAUGCAGUAAUGUGAUUAUUGAUACGAAAAUAUAGAUCAGCAAUAAGAGUUGAAAAAAAAUUAUUUACUUAGGGAACAAGUUGAGAGAGUUUGAUAUACUCAUAAUUGCCAUUAUUGAGAGUGAAAAGCUUGAUAAUCGGAAUUUUUUAAAACAAUAAGCCAUCAGGAUUCGCUUGGGGGUGUUAUCGUUGUAGACCCUCCGAUACUUAAGUUAAAGAUUAAAAAUAACAUGAUAAUAAAUAAAUAAUAAGAGAAAAAAGAGAAUAAGAGAAUAAAUAUUGUCAUACAAUAUACAUAUUUCGCAUGUAUCUUUAUAUGUAUACACACACACAGAGACACACACCUUUGAGUGAUGAUCUCUUUAUAUAAGAGUGCUAAUAAUAAAAAGUGUUUAAAUUUUAAAUUAUAAAUACCAUGUAAAUAUUGAAUUAAAAAAUAAAAUUAUAAAUACCAUGUAAUAGCAUUGCAGUUUCGUUGGCCAUCGCCUUGAAUUUAAAUUUUAAAAGAACCAAAGAAACAUAGUAAAUGUAAAAAUAACAUAAAAUAACAAAGCUUGAAGAAGUUUACUUCUUUACUUCUUGCAUUUUCAAACUCUACUAUUUUAGGGCUCAAAAUCACUUUCUAUUCUGCAUUUUAUAAAACUAGAAAUUAAAAAUACAAAAUUCUAUGGGAAUGUCGUGUGAUGCGUGGACACUGGGUAGAUAUUCACUGUUUAUAUCUCAGUGCCUUUUUCCUCACCCCUUAUGAGUAAGCUUUGAAUUAGGUACCCAAUUUGUCCAAGAGUUAGCGAGCCAAUGAUCACUCAUUCACUCUAAUUAGAUAUUUAGUGGAUGAAAAUUGAUUGGACGUAAAAGAAAAUGCAGAUGAAUAAUCGAAAUAACUUUCAAGUCCAAAAAAGCUUUGACUUACUUGAUGAUGUCUUGUUAUGAUCACCAAAUGGCUCAGUCUGUGCCGCGUCAACAUGUGAAAACUCAUCCACGUCACCAGCCUCAGCGCUCUCGCCACGUCAUCACUCAAGCGGUUGUAACUGAUGAUAAUUUGGAUAAGAAAAACAGUUGAAUUGGGUCUCUUUUCAACGGGAGAGCACCAAAGACAGAGAAACCAAAAUGGCGCGAGCUUUGCUUCGUUUGAAUAGCACGGCCACGGUCAUAAUGGCCAGUGCUACAAGUGCUACUAAAGAGACAGUUCUUGACGGAGCUCACUUUCAAAUGAAGAACCGAAAUGCCCGCGUUUUGGUACUUGGAGGUACGGGUCGGGUCGGUGCAUCCACUGCAGUUGCUCUCUCGAAGCUCUACCCCGACCUUCAGAUUGUAGUUGGCUCUCGAAACAGGUUAAAUAAUUAAUACCCUUUUCUUUCUUCUGUUUGGUUACCAAAAAAAGCAAGAAAUAAAGGAGGGAAAAUUUUCAAGCUUUGUUAUUUUUUAAUUUUUUUUGCGUUUACUAUGUUUCUUUGGUUAUUUUAAAAUUUAAAAUUCAAGGUGAUGGCUACUGGUAAACUGCAAUGCUUUUACAUGGUUCUGAAAGCACAUUUCUAAACAGUCACUCAACGACAAGUGAUUAUCAUGUCCCACAGUUGUAGAUUAGGGCUCCAAUUGGUAGUGAUGUUGUGCGGUCGUGGCUUGUUAAGACACAUCUACUCUUAAAUGAGAGCUGCUGUGAAACGAGAGCUCUAGUUAUGAAAUAAAAGUUCAUAGUGUCUGGUAAAUGCUACCUUAAAAUAAUCAUUUUGACAAAAAUAGUAAAGCUAAUAUAGGUCAGGCAAUUGUGGGUAAAAUCGUCAUAAUUUUCAAACUGUGAUUGUGAGUGUUUACCAAAUACUUUAAAGUUGUGAUUAGAUGGUAAUAAAAAAAGAGAACCUAAACAGUCCAUAAUAAUAUUGCCAAUGAGGCAAAAAUUGUAAUUCUCUCUCUUUUUGGUUUUCCUAAACAUUUGAAAGGCUGUUUUUGUUGAUUGAUAUGCUUUGACUGUGGUAUGUUAAUAUUUAGAAUGCUGUCAAACAUGCUAGUUCUUGGAUGGAACUAUGGGGACAUGGAGUUGUAAAUUCAAGUAGUUAUGGCUGGAAUAUUUCCUAAUUUACAGUGUUGCUGAGAAAAUUUUGCAUACCGCCAGGGAAAAAGGUGCUGCAAUGGUCUCUACAUUGGGGAAGAAUUCUGAAUUUGCUGAAGUUAACAUUUACAAUGAAGGCUCAUUAUUAAUGGCUUUAAGAGGUGAGAUCAUUCCUCACUGACUAGAUGUAUCUUCUAUUGUUCCACAUCAAUAAUUCUUUUUCUUCUAGAGUCGAAGUAAAGGGAUUUUUUUUUUAUUUUGCAGCGGAUAUUUCGUUAUUGACAAUAUUUUGAUGAUAUUUUAGUCUGUAUGUUAAAUGCUGUAACUUUGCUUCGUCAGAUGUGGAUCUUGUGGUUCAUGCAGCAGGACCUUUUCAACAGGCACCGAAAUGCACUGUAUUGGAAGCUGCCAUAGAGACCAAGGUGAGGAAAGGUAAAUGUUGUGUUUGAAUAUCUCUUUUCCAAGUCCAGUUUUCUAUGUUUUGUAUAUGUGAUAAUUGAAGCAUGUAUACAACUUUACUAUGUACCCAAGAUGUAAACUUAUGUGUUCUUUUUUGUGUCUCCUAACAGACAGCAUACAUUGAUGUUUGUGAUGAUACCAUCUACUCCCAGCGUGCAAAAUCCUUCAAGGACAGAGCAAUAGCUGCAAACAUUCCAGCCAUAACCACUGGAGGAAUCUAUCCAGGAGUGAGCAAUGGUGCUUUUAUGAACAUGAACAUUCUUGUCCUGCUAUCCGCACUUCUAGCACUGUAAAUGAUACGAUUAAGUGAAGAAUAAGGAUAGAGUACUAAUUCUUUAAUUGAAACAUGUGCAGACUACCAAUUCUUGCUUUAGAGCUAAAACUUAAUUGUUGGUAAACUCAUCGACCUGGCUCCAAAGUUCUUAUAUAUGGGUGCACAUAUUGGUUUGACAGAUAGCUUUAGUGACUUUAUAUCAUUAACUUGAGUAUUGCAACUAAGAUAAAGCUCAAAGCUUUCUUUGACAAAGUCUUCAAAAUCUUGAGCUACUUGCACGACAUAAUGAUUUGAAGAAAUAAUAAUGUUGAUGUAGGAAAUGGUGUGGGCAACUUUUAUUUGUUUGUCUUGGGCCAGUAUGUUGGAUUUGGAAAUAUUGGAAGCUUGCAACGAUACAAGAAUCAUUCACCGCCUGCAGACAGCUAUGAUCCAUAUAUGCGAUUUUUGCCAUGUUUAUUUUUCAUAAGAAAUUCAAAUGCUACUUCAGAUUCUAUUAAUAAAUCCCGAAUUCUUGUACAUCCAAAUUUCAUUGUUUCAUGAUUUAUCAUAAUCCAAUAAAGUCUUGAAUGCUUGUACCAAUUCAAAGGUUAGUUGUGGAUCAACAAAAAGAAAUAAAAUGUAUGGGGCUGGACACAUGUCCUAUAUAUAUAUACCAGUUAAUUUUUUUGCCAAGAUAUCUCCACUGUUGGUUAUCUGCUUGAGUCUGAAGCAAUUGUCAACAUUAUAUUGUCUCCAAUAAAUACCUUGAUUGCAUAAAUCAAGCACUUGAUUACUAGCGUAAUCUUGGGGCUAGCUGUAUACUUAUUGUAAAAUACCCAAAUUAUUGGGAUUGAUUAUUCUACUUACCUUGUACAGAAUUAUUUUACAACUAUAAGAACUGGUAUGUCUCAACAAAUUGGGAGAACCUUUUUUCCAAAAAUUAUUUGUCUCUUUUGUUCUCUUUUAUUUGAUAUGGUAUCAGAGCUAUGCAUGUAUAAGAGAAAAUCUUGAAAUUUCUUAUAACAUCAUAGCAAGUUGUUGUGUUGUUCGCGGAUAGAGAUAUCAACUUUCAUUCGUGGAAAUUGAGAUCUUAUUGUUGCAAUCUUGAUUGAGAGUUUGAAUCGUGUCGGUGGGACAUCUUGGGUAAGUGAACAUUUUCUUUAUUCUAGUGUUUAAAAUGUCACAAUCAGAAACCUUGGGUAUCAAAUUAGAUGGGAAAAACUAUUUCUCUUGGGAAUUUCAAUUUCGCAUGUUUGUGAAAGGAAAAGACUUGUGGGGUUAUGUUGAUGGGUCUGAUUCUAGGCCACAAGAAGGAACUGAUAGUGUGAAAAUAAAGGAAUGGGAUUCAAAUAAUGCUAAAAUAAUUAGUUGGAUUUUGAGCUCUGUUGAUGCUCGUAUUGUUCUUAGUUUGAGGCCUUUUCGUUGUUCUAAGGAUAUGUGGAAUUAUUUAAAAAAAAUUUACAAUCAAGAAAACUCUGCUAGAUGUUUUCAACUUGAAUUAGAGCUGUCUGAAUAUAGUCAAGGGAACUUGUCAAUACAAGAUUAUUAUUCUGGUUUUUUAAAUCUAUGGGCUGAAUACCAAGAAUUGGUUUAUGCUACUGUUUCACAAGAGGGGCUGUCUACUUUGCAACAAGUGCAUGAAGUGUCUAAACGAGAUCAGUUUCUUAUGAAAUUAAGGCGUGAUUUUGAACCUAUUCGUGCCAAUCUAAUGUCCAGAAUUCCUUCUCCAUCUUUGGAUAUAUGUCUUGCUGAACUUCUUCGUGAAGAACAACGAUGUAUAACUCAAUCUGUUCUUGAAAUAAAGAAUAAUCAGGUAUCUAAUCCAAUGGAGGUGGCAUUUGCAUCGCAAGCACAUGCAAGGGACAUGAGCAAAGUGCAAUGCUAUAGUUGCAAAGAAUUUGGACAUAUAGCCAAACAAUGCAAAAAGAAAUUUUGUAACUAUUGCAAGAAACCUGGACAUGUGAUUGAUGAAUGUCGACGACGGCCUCAAAAUAAAAAUCCUCAAGCCUUGCAAACUACUAGCUCAAAUUCACAUUCAGAACCUAGUUCCACAAGCCUUACUCCUGAAGUGGUACAACAGAUGAUUUUUUCAGCAUUAUCAGCUCUUGGUGUUUCAGGUAAAAAUGCUUCUUCAUCUCAUUGUUACAUUGAUUCUGGUGCUUCCAACCAUAUGACACCUUCAUCCACAUCUCUUGUCAAUGUGAAACCAUCCUUGGGAAAUUUAGAAAUUCAAACAGCAAAUGGAGAAAGUGUUCCUGUUAAAUCAAUUGGUGAUAUUCCACAUACUUUGCCUUUAACUAAUGUAUUUCAUGUGCCUUGUUUAACUUCGAGUCUUAUUUCUGUUGGGCAAUUGGUUGAAGAUAAUUGUACAGUUUUUUUUUCAAAAUCUGGUUGUAUUGUACAGGAUCAAGAAACGGGGAAAGUGAUCGGGAAGGGACCUAAAUGUGGAAGACUGUUUACUCUAAGCUUGCCUGGCUAUCUCAAGAAUAAAGCCUUGUUCUCUUCACAUUAUUCUACUUUCAUUUCUCUUUUUCAAUUGUGGCAUAAACGUUUGGGUCAUCCAAAUACCAAAACUUUGUUAUCGUUGAUAAAGAGUCGAUUGAUUUCUAAUAAAGAUUUUGUUAAUUCUUCAGAUGUGGUAUUUAAUUGUGAUAGCUGUAAACUUGGUAAAAGUAAAACACUGCCUUUUCCAGUACAUCAAAAUAAUGUAAAAAGUUGUUUUGAUUUGAUUCAUACAGAUGUUUGGGGACCAUCUCCUUUUCCUUCUCAUUCUCGUAAGAAAUAUUUUGUUUCCUUCAUUGAUGACUAUAGCCGUCACACAUGGAUUUAUUUUUUACAUAAUAAAUCUGAUGUAUUUGAUGCCUUUAAACGUUUUCUUGCAUAUACAAAAAAUCAAUUUUCCACUUCUAUCAAAAUCUUAAGAUCUGAUUCUGGAGGGGAAUACAUGUCUAAUGAUUUUCAAAAUUUUCUUCAAAAUGAAGGAAUAAUAUCUCAAAAAACUUGCCCAGACACUCCUCAGCAAAAUGGAAUAGCUGAAAGAAAAAAUCGACAUCUUUUGGAUGUUACUCGUGCUUUGCUUCUUGAUGCAUCUGUACCUUCUCAUUUUUGGGUGGAAGCCUUGUCUACAGCUGCAAACUUGAUUAAUUGUAUGCCAUCAUUUAACCUUUAUAAUGAGUCUCCAUAUUUCCGUUUGCAUAAUAAACAUCCUGAUUAUACUCAAUUACGUGUUUUUGGCUGUCUUUGUUAUUGUCAUCUUCCUGCAUCAGAUAGAAAUAAAUUGACUGCACAAUCUGCAAGAUGUGCAUUUCUUGGGUACGCAUCUGAUCGCAAAGGUUUCCUUUGUUAUGAUCCCAAAGCUCGUCGUACUCGCAUAUCUCGGAAUGUUAUUUUUGUUGAAAAUAUUUAUUUUUUUCAAAAUACCCAUGUCACUACUUCUUUAUCUCCAUGUUCUAAUCUUCAUGACUUUGAUAGUGAUAUUCCUAACAAGGCAAGGUUUAAUCUUGGGAUAGAAAGUGAGCAACGAGACAAAACUAACAGUGAAGAAACAGAGGGUCCUCAGCGAGAAUCUUCCUUAUCUCUUGAUCCAAGCCCUGAAACACAUGAUCCAAGUCUUGAAACACAUGAGUCAAACACAAUAUCCGCUGCACCUCCAUUACGAAGAUCUAGUAGACAAAUCAAACCACCUGACCGCUUGUCUCUUGUGGCCACAUUGUCACCUAUGAGUAUUCCAAACUCUUAUUCCCAAGCCAAACAAUAUUCACAUUGGCAGGUUGCAAUGGAUGAAGAGCUAGAAGCGUUAAGAAGAAAUCAUACAUGGGAUAUUGUCUCUUGUCCCGCUGGUUGUACACCAAUCGGGUGCAAAUGGGUUUACUCUAUCAAACAAAAAGCUGAUGGUUCUUUGGAUCGUUAUAAAGCUCGUUUGGUUGCUCUUGGGAAUUGGCAAGAAUAUGGUAUAAACUAUCAUGAGACUUUUGCUCCAGUGGCCAAAAUGACCACAGUUCGCAUUUUGUUAGCGAUUGCGGGUUCACAAGCAUGGCCUCUUUUUCAAAUGGAUGUAAAAAAUGCAUUCUUGCAUGGAGAUCUACAAGAAGAAGUCUACAUGAAGCUUCCGCCUGGAGUAAGCUCUAAUUCAAAAGCUCAAGUAUGUCGUCUACGACGUUCUCUUUAUGGGCUUAAACAAGCACCACGUUCAUGGUUUACAAAGUUUGGUCAAAUACUGCAUCAGUUGGGUUUUCACCAGAGCUCUAAUGAUCCUUCUAUGUUUAUUCGACGUUCAGCUGCUAGUAUCAUUAUUCUUCUUGUUUAUGUAGAUGAUAUAAUUAUUACGGGGACUGACACAUUUGGUAUCCAGCAAUUUAAGGAGUCUUUGCAUUCAUAUUUUCAAAUGAAAGAUCUUGGCAAUCUCACUUAUUUUCUUGGCCUUGAGGUAUAUCAUUCAAGUGAAGGCAUCUACGUCCAUCAGCAUAAAUACACAAAAGAUUUAAUUGCUUUGGCAAGACUUGAAGAUUCAACGGUCAUAAACACUCCACUUGAGAUCAAUGUUAAAUAUUCGAAAGAUGAUGGUGACUUGCUUUCUGAUCCUACACUAUAUCGGAAACUAGUUGGGAGUUUGAUUUAUUUGACGAUUACCCGACCAGACAUCUCUUAUGCAGUGAACUUAAUGAGCCAAUUUAUGCAUGAGCCUCGACAUUUACAUCUUUCAGCAGUUAAAAGAAUAAUCCGUUAUUUGCUUGGGACUCCUAAUCGUGGACUAUUUUACAAGGCUAGCUCCCCUCUUGUUCUCAAAGCUUAUAGUGAUGCUGAUUGGGCUGGGUGUUCAGACUCUCGUCAAUCAACUACAGGUUGGUGUAUGUAUCUUGGUGACAGUCUUGUCUCUUGGAAAUGCAAAAAACAAGAGAGGGUGUCUAAAUCCUCUACUGAAGCCGAGUAUAGAGCUAUGUCGGGUGCUUGUUCUGAAAUCGUAUGGCUACGACGACUUGUAUCUGAAUUGGGUUUUCCUCAAGCGUCUCCAACGCUAUUGCAUGCUGAUAACAAGAGUGCCAUACAAAUUGCUGAAAAUCCUGUAUUUCAUGAAAGAACUAAACAUAUUGAGGUUGACUGCCACUAUAUUCGAGAUGCUUAUGCUGAUGGUACCAUUCAAUUACCUCAUGUGUCCACAACAUUUCAAAUUGCAGAUAUAUUUACAAAGUCCCUGACCAAGAUACGGCAUCAGUUCUUGGUUGGCAAAUUGAAGCUUGUUGAUUCACCAGCAUCAAUUUGAGGGAGGCUGUCAACAUUAUAUUGUCUCCAAUAAAUACCUUGAUUGCAUAAAUCAAGCACUUGAUUACUAGCGUAAUCUUGGGGCUAGCUGUAUACUUAUUGUAAAAUACCCAAAUUAUUGGGAUUGAUUAUUCUACUUACCUUGUACAGAAUUAUUUUACAACUAUAAGAACUGGUAUGUCUCAACAAAUUGGGAGAACCUUUUUUCCAAAAAUUAUUUGUCUCUUUUGUUCUCUUUUAUUUGAUAGCAAUAACAGAAAAAAAAUAGAAAAGAAAACAAUGACUAAUAUGACUAGUUAUUAUUAAAUUAGUCGUUAAAUAGUUAUUUAUUCUUAUUACGAUAAUUGAGGCAAUAAAUUGCACAUUCUUGUUUAAUUUUGAGUUCUUCAUUGAUAACGUUCAAAUUUUUAUUUUUUAUUUGAUUUUUUUUCCUAAUUUUAGGGGGGAGAAAAGGUAAAGAAUGAGAGAUUAUUUAAUAAAUUAAAUUUAGAGCACAAGCACAGAAGCAUUAAGCUCCUGCUAAACUGUUGUUCGACUUGCAAGUUUUUGGAUCAAAUAAUAAAGUUUGUGCCUUGAGAAGUUAGCUCAUGGCUGGAAUGUUAUUUCUAAUCUAGAGCUAGCGUCCUGAGACAACAGAAGUUAACAUUAACAAUAGAAGACUCAAUUGGUAGACAUUAUUCUUUUACACUAAAUACACAAUUGAGUUCACAGCUAUUCAAAAAAUGGGGCAGUUUUUUAUUUAAUUACAAAAUUACCCUUAUUGAAACCCAUAUAAGAGUAUUUAUAUUAAUUAGUUAUAUUGCUUCUUCAACUAUCAUCAAAUUCUUAUUCGAGUUCAUCAUUUAAGGAAUAAAUGUGUACUAAAUAAUCUCAAAUGAUGUACUAAGCAAAUAUUUUGAGAAAUAAGACUCAUUAUGGCUCCUUUCAUUAGUUGUAUCUUUAAUUUCUUAUUAAUGAAAUUCUCUCGCAUUGCCCAAAAAAAUAUUGUUAGCGUCACCAUUGAAAGGGGCCAAAUUAUGUAUUGUCUGACUAGUGAAACUCUUAUCAUAUCUGCUAAUACGUAUCAGGAAAAUUAUAUUGUUGCAGGAAAAUAGAUUUUCCAAAAAUCUGUCCUUUGGCCGACCGAUCCUAUAUGAUCCUUGUUCAAAUUGGCCCCGUGUGUGGCACGUCAACAUGUCAAAACUCGGCCACGUCAUCAACUUCGCAAAAUUCUCGCCACAUCAUCACUGAACUGGUUACGACGGAUGAUAAUUUGGACAAGCAAAACAGUUGAUAAUUACAAAGAGGGAACACUAAAGGCAGACCAAAGUGGCGCGAGCUUCGCUUAUUUGUACCAAGUAAAUGAAUUUUAGCUGAAAAAAAAGUAGGCCCAUAAUUAUAAAGCAAUGGCCCAGUACUAUACACGUCAUUACAAAAAAAAAAAAAAAAUCGAAACAGAGCUCAAUUUCAAACGAAGAUCCAAAACGCCAGCAUUUUGGUGCAGCCGUUGCUCAGAGUUUUUUCUUUUUAUAUGCCGAAGAAGUGCUUAUUUUCCAAAUAUAUAUCCCUUCUUUCCAUUUAUUCACUUAUAUACGACAAAUUCACCUGCAUAAAGAUUGAAAUACUCUCAUUUGUGAAUUACAAGUUGCAAAUUUUCUAUUUCAAGAUGAAGUUCAUUUACCUGUUCUUUACCAUCUUCAAAAUUUUCCUCUCAUUUUUAUUUCACUUUCUCAACUUCAAAAUUUACCUGCAUAAAGAUUUCUGAUUUCGAAUUAGAAUUGUGAUUCUUCACUUUCUGAUCCUUCCUAUGAGUUUCAUGGCUGCGGAAAAUGUAGAAGUACUAGUUUGAGAUUUUAUAAAUUGUUCAAAAAACCUCUGUCCAAUAGAUUAUAAGGAUAAGCAACAAGACUUGGUGCUCAAAAGUCUAAAAGUAUUAUAAAGACUUGGUAACUCUCUUAUUCACCUGCAUGGCAUAUCUGUUCUUGUGCCUUCAAUAAGAAAAAAGAUAGUAUGGAUUAUUUAACUCAGCCUUUUCAACUUUUGAUUUGCCUCCAGUUAUUGCUCUUAUAUCUUCAGUGGACUUGACUGAAAUGCUCAUUAAUGACUAGAAAAAAUUAUCUUAACUUAUAAGGUGGACUUGACUGAAAUGCUAAUUAAUGACUUUGAGAAAGAAAGACUUGUCAAGUUUUUCUAUACAUACCUCUUAAUUUGGACAUAUCUUAGGUCACUAACUUUCAACUUUUCUGAUCCUUCCCAUGAGUUUCACUAUCAUAGCCGUGGAAAAGAAGUUUGGAGUUUUACAAAAUUGGGAAAAAAUAUUAAUUAAGAUUACUGCUCCGCAAUUCAUGCAAUUGACCAGGAGAAAAGAUCACUUUAGAGCCUUAUAGGGGGAAGGGAUUGAAGGAAAGAUGCCUUUCUAUUUUAAGUUCAGUAGUAAGAAAGAGCAGGCAACUUGGCAUAAGUUUUCAGCUUAAGUUCAUACAGUUGACCAGUUACAUACAUAUAUGAUGACUUAAAAUAUCUGAGAGUUCGGGUUUCUUUUAGUAUAAACGCAUCUGCUUUUGGACAGGUUCGUGGAAAAACUAGAAUAUGUUUUUGAUUUGGUAAAUUAUGUAUUGUUUUGACCAGUUACAUACAUAUAUGAUAACUAAUGGAAGGUCUAACAACUUAGCUUAACAAACUGUAACAGAAUCAAAACAGGGGAGGGAAGAUGAAUUGUGUUUGUGUAAAUGACUGUUAGUCUAGUUAGCUGUUACGCCGGCAAAUAUGAUAACGAACAUCUCGCCGAACUUAAGUAAAUAUCUAAAUGGUUAUUAAUUGGAUACAGCUUCAGCUUUUGGACUGGUUUAUGGAAAUUGAAAAAAUUUGACAAGUGUUCCUCUUGAAGAAUCAAAGUCUACUUUAUACGUGAAGAAAGGGGAUCCCAGUAAAGAUAAUCCAUCAAUGUUCAGUUACAUUCGAGCGUGUUGACUACUUUUAGGAUGAAAGACUUCUAUUGUCCCAAGGAGUUUUACGAGGUCCAUACACAGAGCUGCAAACAGCGUAAGUUACACUCCCCUUAUGCAACAUUCAAAUGAAAUCCAUACAAUCAUGCAAGUCAAAUCAAUACAUACUGAAUAGCUUACCUCAGAAUCUUCACCUGCUGACGCGAGAAUGUUUAGAACCUUUGAGGAUGCAAGGCCAGUUACACUCCCCUUAUGAACAAAUUCAGUGGCAGCCUUCCUCAAACAUUUGCAAAAAGUUGUGUCUUGACAAGUCUUAACCUCAAUGGUAAUUGGUUGGAAGGACCGAUGCCUCCAUCUUUGGUUAACUAUCGGCAUUAUAAGCUGGUUUAUGUAUUGUUCAUGGAGUAGAUAACCAGCUGAUAUGUUUCAUAUUCUAACAGUUGAUAUACAAAAAUCCCAAUUCAAAUUAUGUUUAUAAUCAGCGUCUAUAGUCUAUAGAGAGAAAGAAAAUGAGGGUCAUACAUAAGAAAUCAAUGAUAGGACGUGUUCUCUUGAUCAGGAAUUUUAGACUUUUGGAAGCUAGUAGUGGAAGUCAAAUAAUCUCCAGGUACCAAAAUAUGUUUUGCUUUCAUUUCCAUUGCAUAAGAACAUGAUAUCACACACUUAUAUUUUGAUGGUUAACUUGAUCAAAAUUUUCAGGAAAAAGUUAUUUAAAAAUAAUUUUGAUGUAGGAAUGAUUUGGGGUGAAAUUCAUUUGGUGCCAUUUAGGCCACAUUUUUUCAAUUGGGCGUAUGGUAUAUACUUUUUCAAAGCUGGUGACAAGAUGAACAAUGUUGCCCAUUUGCCUUUGAGUCUGAUGCCCGUGGGGCUUUUACGAAAUUGUACAAUUUCAGGACUCAAAAUCCCAUUUGAAGUUAUUUCAAAUUCCAGCACUUCGGGAAAUUUCUAAGAUUUGUACUUUACUACUUUUAUUUUCAUAACCAAUUCUUAUUUUCUUAGCACUUUUUGGAGAACAUACAACUGAAAUCAUUUUUACCUAAUAACCUAGCAAAAAGCUACUACAUAUCACAAUGUUGACCUCUGGGCUAAUCAAGCAUUUGACUUUCCUAAUACAAUUUAUCACAAAACGAUUAUCCCUUUUCAUAUUUUAAGUUCAAUAAUAAGAAAGAGGAGGCACCUUCCAAAUGUAUGCACCUUUUUUAGUUUUAUCCCACAAAACUUUAUCACAAAACAAUGGCCUUUUCAUAUUUUGAGUUAUUGCUCAAUCCCUUUACAAAAAAUUAUGCACAUUUACUAGGGAUAGAAAAUUGAAAAGAAAAUUUUCGAUAAGAAAACAGCUGAAUAAUCGAAUUUCGAGUCUUUGGUGGACGUUAUUCUUUUAUACAAAAUAUAUCUUUGAGUUAAACAAUUAUUAAAACAUUGGGGCUAGUUUUUCAUUUAACUACAAAAUUACUUUUUUUGAAACCCAUAAAACCAUUUUUAAGUGGUAAAUUAGUUCUAUCACGUCUUCAACUAUUGCCAAAUUCUUAUUUGAGUUCACCAUUUUACUAGUAAAUGCGUUAUCUAAAUAAUUUCAAAUGAUGUAUUAAAUAAAUAUUUUGAGGAACAAGACUCAUUAUGUCUCCUCUCAUUAGUUGUAUUUUUAAUUUCUUUUUAAAAGAUUCUCUCAUAAUCAAUUAAAAAAAUUCAGCCACCCAAAAAAAAAAAAAGUAUUUAGCUUCGCGGCGGAAUGGGGGCUAAAUUGUGUAUUGUUUAACUGGUGAAACUCUUACCACAUCGACUAAUAUGCUGCUUUUGCUAGUGGCAGUGGUGGCAACAGAGCUUGCUCAUAUUGGUAGAAGUGAAAGCAAAGGAGAGACAGAGAGACUAAUUAAGGUUUAUUAUGGUGAAGUCCUGGGUCAGUCGCUUUUGCUGAAAUGAUUGCAAGUAAUCUCCCACUAUGACUGCCAUUUUUAUCUUAUUUAAGUUUCGGUGAAGCCCAUUCACAUAAAAUAAUUGGCAGGAAGUGUUAAGGAGAAAAGAUCGUCCUAAUUCAAUGUCUGGGGGUGCUGCAAUCACUUUUUAUUACUAAAUAUUUUUAAAUUGGAAUAAUGUAUUAACAGAAUAAAAAAUUUCAUAAUCUAACAAUUGAUUUACAACAACCCGAGUCCUGAUUAAAUUCAAAUAAUAAUUAUAAUCAACAUCUAUAGGAAAAUUGAAAACGAGAAUCAUAUGUAAAAAGAAAUCAUUUCGUAUGCCCAUUACCAUAUUAUAUUUGUACAUUAGAAAUUAAUAUAAAAUAAUAAUUUAAUAAUUAAUUUAAUAUAAUUAAUAAUAAAGCAGUAAUAAAUUUAAACAAUAUUAAUACAAAAUUAAUAAAGUAUAAUCUAACAUUAAAUACUAUACAAUAUUAUUAUAAUAAAAUACUAAUUCAAUACCACAUAAAGUAAUAUACUUGCAUUAUUUGGAACUGGCAUAAAGUAAAAUUAAUAAAGUAUAUCAACGCACAUGGAAAAUGCGACUUUUGAAGAAUGCAGUAAAUGGAAGGUUAAAUAGACUUCGUGCAUGCUGUAAAUUUAAAUGAAUCAUAAUUAAUUUCAAAAGGUAGUAAAUGGAAGGCCGAACAACUUUUUUAACAAACUGAAACAGAAUUAAAUCAAUUGUGCUUUGUGCAUAAUGUAUAUGACUGACUAACUAACUAACUACGAGUUUAGCUGCCUGCCACAUCAGCAUUAUAUAACACAUAACUAAUAUCAUUCCGCGUCGAGCAUGUCGUCAAGAUCCCCCUCUUGAAAGGAUUCCACUUACCACCUAAAUUCCAAAGCAAGAAGACUUGGUGCUGUAAGUCAAUAAAUAUUAUAUUAUUAAUUAAUUACACACCAUAUUCAACUUCUAUAAAUAGUCAUUAUAUCUCUCUCUCUUCUUGUGAUUUCAUCAUCCAGAAAAGAAAAAGAAAAAGAAAAAGAAAAUGGGUUAUAUCACUCAGCCUUAUCAACUUUUUAUUUGCCUCCAGUUAUUGCUCUUCUAUUCUCAGUGUUCAGCAAUACUUUGCUCUCACCACCAAAGUUCUGCUUUACUCCAAUUUAAGCACCUCUUUUCCUUUGAAAAACAUUCUUCAUGGUUUUGUGAAACAUUUCAACUACAAAUAUCUCGUCCAAAGAUGAUGUCUUGGAAAGAGGACUCUGAUUGCUGCUCCUGGGAUGGAGUAGCAUGUGAUUCGGCGACGGGUCACGUGAUUGGCCUCGACCUCAGUUGCAGUUGGCUUCACGGCAACAUCCCUUCCAACAGUAGCCUUUCCUUGCUUCCUCGCCUGCGAAAGCUCAACCUGGCUUUCAAUGAUUUCAAUGGCUCUAAGAUUUCUUCUGGUUUUACUAAUCAAUUUCCGAGCUUGACACUCCUUAACCUCUCUUGGAGCAAUUUCUCAGGGUCAAUUCCUACGUCACUAGGUAACAAUAUUACACAACUUGCUUAUUUGGAUCUCUCACAAAACAGUUUUACUGGUUAGAUUCCAUCAUCUUUUUCAAAUCUCCACCAGCUUCGUCAUUUAGAUCUUCGGUCCAGUAACAUUGUUGGUAAAAUUCCUGCAUCAUUAGGUAACAAUAUUACACAACUUGCUUAUUUGGAUCUCUCACAAAACAGUUUUACUGGUCAGAUUCCAUCAUCUUUUUCAAAUCUCCACCAGCUUCGUCAUUUAGAUCUUCGGUACAGUCACUUUGUUGGUGAAAUUCCGGAUAUUUUUACCAACCUAACCCAACUUUCUGAUUUAGACCUGUAUGGGAAUCAACUGACUGGCUCGAUUCCAAGUUCAAUAUUUGAACUUUUGAAUUUGACAUUUUUCUCUCUUUCUUUUAGCAAUUUCAGUGGCAGCGUUGAGCUUUACGAUUUUGCAAAGUUAAAAAAUCUUAACUAUCUUUUUCUUUCUAAUAUUAGUUUAUCAGUGAGCACCAAAUUAACAGUCAACUCGUCUUUCCCUAAUCUUCUGGGGUUGGGUUUACCGGCUUGCAAUAUAAGUGAGUUUCCAGGCAUCUUGAGAACUCAUCAUCAGUUAGAGUGGUUGGACCUUUCUAGAAACCAAAUCCGUGGUAGGAUUCCCAGUUGGAUGUGGGAGAUCGGAGUACAUACUUUGUAUGUCCUAGAUCUUUCACGAAACUUCCUGACAAGCAUAGACCAUCUUCCGUGGAAAAAUCUCCAAUAUCUUACCCUUGAUUCGAACCUACUUCAAGGAUCACUUCCAGAUCUACCACCUCACAUGGUACGGCUUUCAAUUUCCAACAAUAAUUUGACCGGAGAGAUUCCUUCAUCAUUUUGUAAUUUGAAUUCCAUUCAAUCUUUUGACGUAUCCAACAAUAGCUUGAGUGGACAAAUUCCACAGUGUCUUGGAAACUCUACACUUGACACUUUGGAUUUCCGAAUGAACAACUUCCAAGGUAGCAUCCCACAGGCAUAUGCAAAGGGCUGCAACUUGAUUAAUCUUCAACUGAAUGGCAAUCACUUGGAGGGACCAUUGCCAUCUUUGAUUAACUGUGUGAAUUUGCAAUUUCUUGAUGUUGAGAAUAACAACUUGAGCGGCCCAAUUCCAGAAUAUCUUGGAAACACAACACGUUUGUCAUUUCUUAAUGUUGGGAAUAAUAGCUUGAGCGGCCCAAUUCCGGAAUGUCUUGGAAACUCAACACUUGAAAUCUUAGAUAUGAGAAUGAACAAGUUCAACGGCAGCCUCCCUCAAACAUUUGCAAAAAGUUGUGUUUUGGCAAUUCUUAACCUUAAUGGCAAUCGGUUGGAAGGACCAUUGCCUACAUCUUUGGUUAAUUGUCGAUAUUUGGAAGUUAUAGAUGUUGGGAAUAACAACUUGAGCGGCUCAAUUCCAGAAUGUCUUGGAAACUCAACAGGUUUGUCAUUUCUUGAUGUUGGGAAUAACAACUUGAGCGGCCCAAUUCCAGAAUGUCUUGGAAACUCAACACGUUUGCGAUUUCUUGAUGUUGGGAAUAACAGCUUGAGCGGCCCAAUUCCAGAAUGUCUUGGAAACUCAACACUUGAAGUCUUGGAUAUGAGAAUGAACAAGUUCAACGGCAGCCUCCCUCAAACAUUUGGAAAAAGUUGUGUUUUGGAAAGUCUUAAACUUAAUGGAAAUCGGUUGGAAGGACCAUUGCCUCCAUCUUGGGUUAAUUGUCGACAUUUGGAAGUUAUAGAUGUUGGGAACAAUCAGAUUAAUGGUACCUUUCCCCACUGGUUAGACGUUCUUCCCAAAUUGCAAGUUCUUACAUUGCGUUCUAAUAGAUUUGGUGGUCCCAUUGGUGAUACCAAAACAAGAGUUCCCUUCCCCAAGUUGCGAAUAAUUGAUUGCUCUCACAAUCGACUCACCGGUGUUUUGCCACUACGGUAUUUGGAUAGUUUUAAAGCCAUGAGGCCUGGGAAAAACAAUAGUGUUGAAGUCAAUUAUAUGAGGUUGCCAGAUUCUUCUAAUUACUAUGAGUCAAUAUUUCUGACUAUGAAAGGCAUUGACUUACAAAUGGAGAGGAUUCUAACAACUUUUGCAACUAUUGAUUUGUCCAGCAAUAGAUUUCAAGGGAAAAUUCCAGAAGUAG